AAGGCUAAUGUAUAGCGAAUAUGUUGGAAAAAAUUACAUGUUAUAAAAUCUCGAUUCAUUUCAGCACAACGACAAGAAAAAAUAAAAUAUCACUGAACUGAUUUUAUUUUUUACAUUACAGAUUUUGUGUCCAAUUUUAAUUUAUAUUGAUCUGCCUGCAGAAGCAGAAUGCUGUGCUGAACAGUGUUUAUACUUGAAGAAUGCAGUGCGAAACCGUGUUUGUUGUACUUGCAGAACAGGUAUAAUGUAUAUAUAUAUAUUCCAAAAUAAACUUAUUUCGUGCAAUAUAUAUAUGAAUUCAGUACAAAUCCACAAAAUGUAGGAUAUAUGUCAAAUAAAUUUAACUAAUUGUAAACAAUUGUUGUAAUGGUGAUUGUGAAUUGUAAAAUGUUCAUGCUAUAAUUUCGUUGCAUUCAAUUAACUUCUUAUCCUCUAUUAAUAAUGUAUAUUAAAUGUAUCAUUAUCAUUCAACUUGAAUUCAGAAUAGACCACUGAUAAGUGGUCUCCGCUUAUCUCUGAUCUUUUUUCCAUAUGUGCGUGUGUGUACACACAGAGGGAGGGGGAGAGAGAGUUNGUACAGAUGAUAUUAAAAAAUUAACUGAAAAUAUAUGAAAGCAAUAAACAAAUUACAAUAGUUCAUAAUCUGCCCAAAUAAUGUUCUCCGCAAGAAUUAAAUUGUAGACCCCAAAACUUGACCUUCAAAUUGAGUUGUAACUAGAAGGUAUUUCUAAUCUUUACUUGUACUUUCAGAAAAUCAUAUAGCAUAAUAUUUCGAUCAUUUAAAAUAAAACUCAUAAUUAAGUACAAUGAAAUAUAUAGUUAAUCAUAGAUAGGAGGGUAUAUCUAGGCAAGGUAUAAUUAACCAAGUGAAUAACCCCAUAGUGUUGAUUCCUCGUCAUUUCUUAUUGUUUAGCCGAUACAAAUUCAAUGCAUAUUUAAGUACCUGAAAAAUCUCAGCACAACCGUGAAAAGCUAGAGAAUCUCUCUUAAGCCCAGGAUGAAAGGCAAGGUAAGGCUGGCCUGAAGCUCGCAAUCUGCACAUUAAUAAUCAUAACUAAAAGACCAUCAUUUAAGAAAAUAUAGCACCAAGUACAGUGAACACCACAAAUAAAGAAAGAAGUCCUGCUAGAAUAGUGAUCCCUGAUACAAAUACAUUAUAUCGAUAGUUUAAAAGAACUAAAAGGCUUUCAUAAACUCUGCCUUGUUUUAUGUUUAAGAAGCUCUUCCAGGCUUUAAUGAGCCAUCUAUGAUGUUAAAUUUCAAGUACUCGGGGGUUAAAAUUAAACUUAUUUCACACCAAAAAGAGAUUAAGAAAGAAGCAUAAGUUACGCAUGUAUAUUGCAUCUCGACAUUUUGACAUAUGUAUAUACCUUUUCACCAAUAAAUUUGCAACUGACAAAAUUUCUGGGCGGAAUUGAAGGGCAUGAAAUGCUACCCGGCAUCUUAGUCUCUGAUACUCUACCAAGCUAGGAGGUAGGACAGACUGGGAAGAAAACAAAACAAGAGAGAGUUUUCAUCAACAUAUAUGAAUGCAACCAUCCAAGAAAGUUUAUAUGUCUGGUAUCUUACAUAAUCAAAAAGAUGUUAAAAAAAUCAUUUUAAAAAUUUUUAGUGAGCACUAGUCGGGAUGCAUGUUACUAAGCUAAGAUGCGUGAAUAGGUGUUUGAUGUAAAUCUUUGAGUUUCAUAGAACUGUCAGUUAUAUGCAAGCUCAAAAAAUAACUAUUGACUUGCAAUAUUAAAUCACAAAAUCUAUUGGUUACAUAGUGUGUAGACUGUAGAUUUCCACAUCAGAGUGUAGUGAAAAAGCAAUAACAAGCUUCCAAAAGUAUUUUAACCAAAGAAGCAAUACUUUAUUGCUGACUGAAUCGAAAAGAACAAAUGAUACCUGUAAGCAGCCCCCUUCAGUAAGCACUAACCCGAUCACUUUGGCCUUCUUCAGCUCUGGCAAAAUCUCUCGAGUAUAGAAGCUUGGGGAGGCCGAAUUCUUGGGCUUAAAGAUUUUAUAUUCUUUGCGUUUCCAUGCUUCUUUCAGUGUAGAUGGUAGACUCUUGAUAACUAUUACAUCAUUUGCCAGAGCUGCUAUAAACUGCUCUUCAUUGUAAAUAUAUGAAAAACUCUUGAACUUCGAGCUGUGAAAAAUUUUGAUGUAAAAAAUGUUUAGGUAUACAAUGUUUAAAUAAGACGAGGAAAAAGGAAUAUUACUGGUAUCUUGGGUGCCUAAGCGACACAAUCUACCUGAUGCCUUUUGAUUGUGUACUUUCUUGGAUCUCUGGGAUAACAAGGGUCGCAUUUAGAAGCCUGGAUAUGGUAACAAGAUCACAGAUCUAGCAAGUUGACAAACUCGUGUAUUAGAAGCUUCAGUAGAAAUACUUUAAAAUAGCCAAGAGAAAUAUCAAACAGAAAAUAUAAACAUACAGAAGUUCUUAUUUUCUCAAAUCCACCAAAGAUCUUGGCAUAAAUGAAGCCAUUGUUGCGCUUAGAUGGAGCUGCAAGUCAAAAUGCAAAAGGCUUAUACAAGAAAAAUCAAACUCAAAAUGUUAUUGGUUUGCAUAGAAGUAUAUGAAUAAUAUUUUUAAGUCAAAAAAGAGAUUACAUAUUCUACUUUAAAAAUAAAAGGAGAAAAACAAGCUGGACUUCGUUCAGUGUUACAAUUAUUUUCCUUCUCGUUUCACUCAAAUUUCGAAAAUUCCACGCCUAGAAUAUUUUUUUGAUCACAAAUUGAUUCCCAAAUAGAGAGCAGUUUAUCUUGAUAAAUCAAGAAACAUAAAUCUCAUGGCACAUGAUUGACCUUAAUUACUGAGGUCACUUUCUAAUAAAACUAUUUACAAACAGAAAUGAUGCAAGGAGGGAACUUACCAGGAUAUCUACUUCUAGGUUUUGAAUAUGGCUGCAAGGACUCUAAGGACUUCACAUUUCCCCACAACUUUCUAGAUAUGACAGGCUGUAACAAUCAGAUGAAGAGAGACAACGUAAAACAAUCUUUGCUUACACAUACAAUCAUGCAUGCUACAAGUUAACAAAGUUAAGCAAUUACAACAAACAUUACCAGUCUAUCCCCAACGCCAAUGUUUAAAUCCUCAUUAAAACUUGUCAGUGCACUAUAAUGCCCUAACUCGCCACUUGAAUUGGCUACAAACAAGUGCACCAGUAAAGAAAAAAAGGAUAAUGCCAGUAAUCCAAGUCCAGCCCAUUUAAUUUUGGAUUUGAACAUUAUCUUAAUUCACAUCCAACGUAUUGAGGAAGCAGAGCUGUCAUUGCUACAACUGCAUUAAACAACACCAAUGACUUGACAUAUUUCGACACCAAACUGUAAACUUCCAAAUCAUACGGACAUCAUCCAUUAUAAAGCAGACAUCUCAUUGUAACCUUCGGUAUACUAAUCAAAUAAUUGCGAAACUUAUAAAUGAAAUCUCGACACAAUACACAGUGGAUAGAGUAAACGUAUGUGUGAGUCAAAUGUAUUUAGAGUCACACUAUACAAACAUGACACAUUUUCAGAAAUCUAAAUUAGUGUGUUUGUGAUUACCACAAGAAUGAACGAAAAGGAUAAUAAGUAAUUCAUUAAUCCAGCAAUUUGAAUUGGUCAAAGACAAUCAACGAAUCAGUUACAAGUCCUGCGAAAUCAGGGAAUGAAAUAGUAGUGUAAACAUAUAUAUAAGAAAAAACACAGAUCUCGGCGAGAGAGGGAGAGGGAGAGGGAGAGAGACUUACAGAGAGAACAAUGAGUGAGAUUUAGAGGAGGUUUGAGCAGCAGGUGCACAAGGAAGGGAAUUGAGAGUGUGUUUGAAUCGUUGUGUUUCACCGUCGGUACGAAUAAACUAGUAGUGUACAAAACAAGAUUGAUUUUCUAGUUUGGGGCAUGUCAGCUCAGAUCGACCGACUCACCCUCCUCCUCUGCUCUUUUUAACUCCCCUUUUCAAAUUAUAAAUAAAUAUUUUACUUUUUCUGCCAAUAUUUUCUUGUCAGUUUUUUCAAAUAUAUACAUAUAUUUUCUUUUAAAAAAAUCUCUGAUUCGGUUGAUUAAGAAUUUAAAUAUUCUAUGUGUUAAGCGAUCUGAAAACAAAACGGCUAUUUGUUUAACUCGUUAUUUGUUUCACAAUCAGAUUGUAGUUAGCAGUUCGGGGGUUUGUCCCGGUUGGGUUCCGAUGAGUGAUUUCUGUUAAUAAAAUCAUUUGUUUGUCAAAAAAAAAGAAGUACAACAUGUAUUUUUCAAAAAAAAAAAGUACGAAAUGUAUUUUCGAUUGGAUUUCAGCCAAUUGAUCACUAUAAAUUCUGAUAAAAUGACAUGUUAUAUAAUAAAUUAAACCAAUAUAUAAAAUACUGUUAAAGAUAAUAUAUCUAAUUUUUGUUCUUAUCUUGAUUAAUAAUUUCUGAUCAUUCAGUUAACCCCUAAUUAACACCUUCCUAAUUAACACCCGGUUAAUCUUGAUUCUUGAUUUGCUACGUUAUCCUAAUUUAAUGUUACACAUCCCUGAUUUUAUUCACUUAUAUUUGUCUGCGUUUAGAUUUUUUCAAAUAAUUAAUUCCAUAAUUUUAAUACAACAGCUUUGUUUCAAUAACUAUAUAUUCAAAGUAAAUAUGGAUUUGUCUCUCUUCGUCAGGUUCAAUAACUUUAGAUUUAUUUUUAGGAAAAUGCUAGAGACCCCAAAAAAUUGUCUCAAAUAAUUUUCUCAAAUGAUGUGUCCAAAUUUGAUUGGCUGAAUUCACUCCCAUAAUAAUGCAGAUUCAUCAAUCACCCAAUCAUAACUAGCCACUUGUUUAGCAUUGCCCUUAUUUUUAUUGUGCUACAUCAAUAUUAAAUAGUGUCCAGCUCCUUGCAAAACAACUAAAAAAGAGCAAGAAAACUUAGAAAAGUAGCAUCGUCAAUCGACAAUCACUUCUAUGCAAACAUGAGUUUUGUCUCCACUUCUGUGAGGGAUUUAUACCGUUCAUAUACAGAAGAAAAUAUGCUUGAAAAGAAUGCUCCAGUACUAACGCCCUUUUGACUAUUCCAGAUCAAUUCAUGUUCUGUUCAAAUAUCAUACUAUAACAGAUGUGAUGGUCCAAUGAUAUUAAAAAUAUAAUCAAUUCAAAACUUUGCAGUACAACCUUGUCCGUUUCAAUGUGUUCUUCCAUAAAUCUACUUUUGAAGCCUAGACAUAAAUUUUUCCAAUAUCCACAUUAAAGCAAGCAAGUCUCCCCUUUUCGGAAAUCUGAAAAUACUUCCUAUUUUCUGGCUUCAUAAGGACAGAUUCAUCAAUCACCCAAUCAUAACUAGCCACUUGUUUAGCAUUGCCCUUAUUUUUAUUGUGCUACAUCAAUAUUAAAUAGUGUCCAGCUCCUUGCAAAACAACUAAAAAAGAGCAAGAAAACUUAGAAAAGUAGCAUCGUCAAUCGACAAUCACUUCUAUGCAAACAUGAGUUUUGUCUCCACUUCUGUGAGGGAUUUAUACCGUUCAUAUACAGAAGAAAAUAUGCUUGAAAAGAAUGCUCCAGUACUAACGCCCUUUUGACUAUUCCAGAUCAAUUCAUGUUCUGUUCAAAUAUCAUACUAUAACAGAUGUGAUGGUCCAAUGAUAUUAAAAAUAUAAUCAAUUCAAAACUUUGCAGUACAACCUUGUCCGUUUCAAUGUGUUCUUCCAUAAAUCUACUUUUGAAGCCUAGACAUAAAUUUUUCCAAUAUCCACAUUAAAGCAAGCAAGUCUCCCCUUUUCGGAAAUCUGAAAAUACUUCCUAUUUUCUGGCUUCAUAAGGAAACCAGCUUAAGAGUAGAUUCUACAGUUCUACAACAAAUUAUAAUUUUAAAGGGCUGAUAUGAAUUUCUCAAUCUUUGUCUGCACCCUCUCCUUCUCUUCUGGACCAUCAAGAUCUCCGAUAUUAUCAUGGUAUUCCUGAGGGCACCAAAAGGAACAAAUGACCAACACAAUACAAGCAUGCAACCCUAUACUGAAAUAAACAGAUGAUCAACAGAAUAUACCUGCAGGAUGUCCCUCACAUCCUUCCUAGUAAGUUUCUGCUGCUUAAGUAGUAGUUCUAUUCUAGCUUUAAUUCCAGAGUGACUGCAAGGCAAGGUGAUCAUUAGGUACAAUUGCGGAAAGAACAACUAUAUAACAAGUUCACUGCACAGAACAUGUUCACUGUUCAAACUUUUUUAUCCAAUUACAAUAAAAAUAACAAAUGUUAAUUAGCAAAAGCAGAAGUUGUAUGGCAUGGCAUGCCAACUUACUCAGAUGUCCAGAGAUGGCCAAGAAUAACAGCAAUCAACUGCAUCGCAUUAAAAGACAAACUCGUGUUAAAUUUAUACAUAACAACUGUUGUUAUAGUAGUAGUUGAAUAAUAAAACAUUGUUUCCUUUAUUAUAAGAAUUUAACUUUAGGGAGUUACUGCUACUCCCAUAGAAGGAGGUGUGACCUUUUAUUAUUAAGACUUCAACUGAUUAAUGAAACUGAGAUUGUUCUCUCUUUUCUUAUGGAUUGCAAUCCAUGCAAACACUUCUCUUCUGCAGUUGAGAAAUCCUAGGGGUAAUGGCUAUUGUAGCUACCGCUGGCCGACUGAAAUCUAGGAUUUUUAAUCCUCAGAAGAGAAGAGUUUGGUACGAACGCCACCCAUAACAAAGAGAAGAACAAUCUCAAUUUCAAUAAUCAAUCAAAUUCUUGUUAUAAUAUAAGAUUACAUGUCCUUAUAAGGAGUAAAUCCCUCAAACUUAGUCACUCAGUCACCAAGUAAAAUCUUUAUAAUUAAGAAAACAAAUCCUUUUAUUAUUCUACUACUAUAAUCUAGAAUAUUCCUAAUCAAUGUAAAUAUAUAUAAAAUAUCUAUAUGAAAUGUCACAAUCACAUCUAUUCCUAAGUCCUAACUGGUGACAUUAAAUAAUCAAACUAGUUUUUAAUUUCUUGUUCCACGUCAUUUUGGUAGUUCCCUCCUCUUCUAUUUCAAAAUUAAGGACAAAUUACCAUCACCGAUUUAUGUGCAUAGCCUUCAUUGCAUCCUAGACAACAUCUUUUCUUUGUCUACUCAAUCUGAUCGUUAAAUGGGAUAAAGAACUAACAAAUGGUACUCUAGCCGAGAUAUUAGUCAAACAUGGUGGGUACAAGAAAUAACAAAGUGAGAGUGAUUGGAAGAUUCAUCUCACGAACAAUUGGAAGCCAACUAUAGAUAGACUCAAGUGUUUGUGCACCUCACUGAUGGUGAGCGCCAGAUACUCAUUUUGUACAUCUCACACUUGAUUAAUCCAGCGAAUUACUCAAUGACAGAGAUGUUAGUUGUGGCCGACUUACCGAGACCACGUUAAACUAAUGAUGCUGACUUGUAUAUAUAACAGUUUAUGGACAAGCUCUAUUCCACAGAGGGAAGGCAAAAUAUAGAAGCAGUUUUUUCGAGGGGCAAAGGUUGUGGCUCAUAUCGUCAAAAUAGUCUUUGGGUGUACGAGUAUUUCACUAAUUUUAUUGUUCUGCCUGCUCCUUAAAACUAAUAAUCAUUCACUUGGAAUUUCAUAUACAACUGUAUGUAGCCUCUGUAUAACCCACUCUCCACCCCUUGAAAACACUGCAUAGUUAAGUUUCAUUUCCUACAUCAACCAGUUGAGUUAAAAUCUAGUCAUAUAUGAUUGUCCCUACUCCCUACAAGUUACGCUAUAGAUAACAGGAUUUGCGAUUAAACUUCAUGUCUCCAGAGAAACAGAGGAAAACAGAUGGCAACCCUACAAGUUAAGGUUGUGAAAAUUCAAAGUCACACAUUCACACCCCAUUUCGUUGUAGAGAGAAUCUUAUGAAAGAUGUUGAAAACUGAAAAGCAGUUAUGGAUUGCUAAUGUCAUUCACCAAAGAAAAACAGACACUAAGGCAAAAACAUUCUAACCUGAAGACUAUAUAGUCCCGAUUCAAGCUUUCUGUUAUAGAUUUCCUCUUCGUCCAUCUGUAAUAUUGAAGAUUAGUUAUCAAAUCCAGCUUAUAAAGUGAAAGUAAACUAAGUUAAAUUACACAGAACCAAUUUUAAACUAACCUCUAAAUCAUCAAGUUCGUGGUUAUUCAGCCGUUCAGUCUCUGCUUUUACUCUAUUAGAAUAUCUGACAAAGAAAUGGUAAGACAGAAUCAUGAGUUGAAUACUUUAUAAAUCAAAACUGAUUAAAUAAUUCCUUGAAGCAAGCAUUUACCUCAUAUACAGCUCCAUCAACCGAUCUAUCUUUUCAAACUCAUUUUCAACGAAUUUACUCAAUAAUCGUUCCCUUCUAGAACCUCUAGAAAUUCCUCCUGCCACAGAAACAUAAUGAAGUGUUAGCCCUGCAAUUUAUUACUAGUCACUGCGAAUUAUCUUCAUGUCAUAAAGUCAUGAUUAGAAAAAAGAUUUUAGAAAAAUAGUAUACAUUCAUCAACCUACUGUCCUUGCUGUCCAAACUUCAACAUAUGUAUUAAACUGAAUUUGCUAACUGGCGAGUAAUUUAUUUAUUUUUACAAUGUACAACUAUAUUCAUCAUAACUUAUUCAGUAAUCAGCUAAUUUAUCGACUACAUACGAUUGUAGGAUUAAAACUGCUAAUUAGUAGAGACUAGAGAGGCACCAAGAUUAUAUACUUUAUGUAACUUACAGUAUUCUUACCUAUGCGAUGUAGUUCUUUAUACUUAUUUUUUAGACAACUCUACCCAACUCUGUACGAUUUGAGAUAAAAGAACAAACAUUUGCAUAAAAAUGGUGUUCAUGAAAAAAGGGAAGGAUCUGGAGUUUUGUAAUCUUACCAAAUAAUGAUGCAACAAGUGAAAUAAGGCGCUCUUCAAGUUCUUCUUUGUUUCGUCUUUUCUUGUUCUUGUUCAUUGGAACCUGUAGAAGCAAGUUAUAACUAAAUGAUGAGUGCGCCUAUUGAAUAAAAGCAGCAUGCAUAAAAAGAUACAACAGAUUCAUAUAAUCUUAGCUUAGACAUGAACACCCAUAUUUAGGAAAUAGUGCAUCAAUUCAGCAGUAAAGAAAACUAACUUGCAAAGUUACUGAACAAGUGAGAUGUCAACCAAAUAUAACAUAAGAACUAUGAGACAAGUAUACCAUGACCUCAGAAUAUUGUUCAGAGAAAAAGAGCAGAAUAAGAACCACAAAGAAAUGGAAAAUAGUGGAAAGUAAGACAGAGAAGUACACAAGAUUGUGAAACAAAACAAAAUACAAAAUGUGGCCAAACACUUGGCAACAGCAGGUAGGGCAAGCUAUUCUUAGGCGAAUUACAUUUUGAAACUUUAAAUAAUCUAUACAACUAUGACUAGCUCUGUCAUAUCUAUUAAACUAACCAGAAAUAGACAACAAAUACACCAAAAAUCUAUUACCAAAUUUUCCUUUAAAACAGGACUUAAUGAGUGCAAAGGAAAAGGGAAUCUAAAAAGAAAGUUCAAUUUACACUUAGCACUUUAAAAUGCAAAUACUUCUUCGCAUCGUUGCUUAAAGAAUACACACAAAUACAAUAUCUAAACUUUGUUUGAACUAGAAAUAAACCCUAAUCUAACCCAUCAAGUGGCAACAAGAUGUUAAAGGUAAACUAAUUACAGCCACAAUGAUGUUUUACGCAAAUGAAGUAAUAGAUACAUAACAAAUGGCGAGAACAUAACCUUGGGACAGUAAUACAAGAACAUGCAAUCAACUCCAUUGUGUACAGAAGUAAAAUCUAUUAUAUAAUUUAUAUGUAUUGUUACAUGGUGCCCACAAAAAUUUAGACAACAAAAUAACAAAUAUGAAGUGAAAAUCAAGGGGUGAGUAGGACUUGCCUUACCCAUAAAAGCCGGAAAAGCAGUCUUCAGCCCCAUAACAUCCACAAACCGCUCACAAGCCGGAGGAUAAUUAGUCAUAGCAAAAUCAAGCGCCCUAAUCGCAGAUCCAUAACACAACUUCUUCUGAUUCAUAAUAAUAAUCAUCAACUCAACCCCUUCAGCUUUCAAAAACUUCUCCUUAUUCUCCAACGGCAUCAACAGACAACAUAAACAAUCAAACAAAUUCUCCACCAUCUCCUCCUCAUCCGAACUCUUCGGAUCCCUGGACUUGUACAUUGCCACCGACUGCAACACAACAUCCACUCCAUUGAUUCCCCCCAACCGCUUCUGAUUCCCCGCACUCGUCUGCAACAAAAUGGCCAAAAUCUCCGACGCAUACUGCUUAUUCCCAUCAAACUCCCUCACCUUAAUCUUCCCUAACAACCACCUCAACAACUUAGUCCUUUCACACACCAUUUCCGCCACAGCAGGCCUAACCUCAAUUAAAUUUUCAAUGGUAGCAAGCGUAUUAUACGCGCCUGCCAUCUCAUCGCUAUCGUUCUCAUUCAAUCGCAACAAAUUCUGGACCAACAACUCAAGCACAUUGUUCUCAAUCAAACAAUCCACCAACACCUGAGCAUUCUCAUCAUUAUCUUCCAACACAUCCUCAUCAGUCAAGUCCUGAAUCAAUCCUACGACAUCGAGAGCGAUAUCCGUGUUAUCGUGAUUCAACAACGAGAGUAUCGAGGGGAUUGUGUUUAAGUUCACUAGCUCCGGGUACAAUUCGGGGCCUCCGGCGAGGAUUUUGAGCUUCUCGAUCUCGUCAUGGAGCUCCAGCUCCGAGUCGGCGAAUUUCUCGGGAUUGUCGGGGUAUUUGAGGCGGGCGGCGAUAUUGUCGCGGAACUUGCGCUCGAAGGCGAGGACGAGGCGUUUUAGGGUUUUGACGUCGAGGACUUGGAUGGAGUUUUGCGACUUCUCGACGGCUUCGAGGAGUGAGAGGUCAAUGUUGUCGUCGGCGGCGGCGUUGAUUCCGGCAGCUUCACGGCUGCGUUUGUUGUUUGCGCGCUCCAUUGGGAUUGUUUUUGUGUUUCUUAGGACUCGGCGCUGCUGUGUGUAUAGGUGUAAGUAUAUACGGGCUUCUGGAUCGUUAAUCUACUAUUUGGGCUUCAGUUAUAUUGGACUACUGAUUCAAUAUUUCUUUGAAUUCAAGGUUGUAUAUGGAUUCAUGUCACGAUGUUUCGUGUUUGUAAUAUGAUUCAUAUUAUAGAGUUAAUUAUUACUUUUUCAUAAAAACACAAUUUAAGUGAUUUUUUAAUCAAACAAAUAACACAUGGGUACGCUGUUCUAAAAAUUACGAUUAAUUGAAUAUCCUCAAUUAACAGUAUAUUAAUUAAUUUAUCAAUUAUAUUCUGAUUUGAGGAAAAAAAUUUAUUGAAAAAUCUCCAAUAAAUCAAUAACAAAUUCUGAAUAGUAUUUAUUUCAAAAUUUCUGAAUAUAUAUUAUUAUUAUUAAUAUGAUGUAAUACUCCAUACGAAAAUCAUAAUUAUAAAUCCGUUUUUUAAUUCAAAUUUUAUAAGCAAUUCGUAUGGUUGUUCUUCUUAGCUAGUAAAUGAUCAACUUAAGAAGCAAAUUUUCUUUCUAUUAAGAAAGAGUCCUAGCAUUGGGUGUGGAUGAAUCAUCAAUCAUCAAUAUAUCAAUAUAUAAAGGAGGAUGCGGGCGUAUCCAGAAUCACUCGAUUAAGUCUUCUAAUUUUUUUUAAAUUUCAAAAAGAAAAUAUAGUUAUAAUUCAAAAAAUCAUGUUCAAGAAUUUUAAAGAUAAUACAAUUCUUAUUGGAUUCUAGAGGUAAUACAACUCUUUUCUUAUUUAAGGAUUCAAAAAAAAUAAUAAAAUUAUGUUUAUUCGAACUAACAAUAAUAGAUAAAUACAAUUUUUUAAAAUUUCAUAUAUAUAUAUAAAGGAGGAUGCGGGCGUAUCCAGAUUCACUCGAUUGAGUCUUCUAAUUUUUCUUAAAUUUCAAAGAAAAAAUAUAGUUAUAAUUCAAAAAAUCAUGUUCAAGAAUUCUAAAGAUAAUACAAUUCUUAUUGGAUUCUAAAGGUAAUACAACUCUUCUCUUAUUUAGGAAUUCAAAAAAAUAAAAUAAAAUUAUGUUUAUUCGAACUAACAAUAAUAGAUAAAUACAAUUUUUUAAAAUUCCAUAUAAAUUAAAAGUUACAAGACAAUACAACUAGAACGGGAGGAAUUUAUCUUUUAUUAUAUUGAUCCUUCUUAUUUUUAUUCGCCAAUCUUUUAAGUCUCUUUUGGUUAAUCUCAUUAUUGAAGGUUAGCAUGUAUCUUAUUAGUCUCCUCUCUUAUUUUUUUAACGUUGUUAGUUUAAUCUUUAUAACUUUUUGUUGUAUAUAUCUAUAUUUAUUACUAGCUUAUAACCCGUGCAAUGCACGGGCGGUUAACAUAUUUGUUAUUUUAUCGUAUAUAUUAUAAAUUUACCUAAUUUUAUUGUAAAAAUAAAAUUAUGAUAGAAUAAUGAGGUUAAAUAAAUAUUUUAUUUGACAGUUGGAUAAAUUCUUCAUAAUUUAAGGAGGCCUAUAAACUCAGAUAUAAACCAAUUAACAUUUUAAUAUUUCGUUAUUAAUAAUUAAUAAUAUGAUAUAAAACAUAUUAUAAUUUAAAGAGACGCAUGAAACCAAAUACCGACCCAUCAUACUAACGUAAAUUUAAUGUUUUGGUUAAAUAGAGAAUAAAAAAAAUAUAGUAUAAUAUGUUAUAAACUCAAGAGCUCCGUGGGUUGAAUACCAACCGAUUCACCAAACUCAACUAACUGACCAACCAAGCAACUGAACUUUUUAUUUUCAGCUUUAAUAGUGUAAUAAUAUAUAGUAUAUGAUAGAUUUGCAAUAUUUCUAUUAAUGUGAGAUCAUUAGAGUAUUUAAAAAUAAUGUUAUUAAUGUAUUUUGCUUGAAUAAUAUCACAUGUUAUUUAAUAAUAAUUAUAUUUAAUGAUAUUAUAUUUUUAUAUAUAUGUCGCCCGUGUUAAUUGUAAAACCUCGAUUUUUUAGUUUGAAAAUCUGAAAAAUAUAAUGCGUUUGGAUUAAAAAGGCAAUUACUAUAUUGCUCGAUAUUAUUUUGGAAUAUUGAGUUUUUUUAGCUAAAAAAUAUAUAGAAGAUAAUUUAUUUUAGUUAAAAAGAAUAAUUAGUUAUAUAUAUAACCCAUACUUGGGCCAAGUACCGACCACCCGACCACUAUAAUAAUACUUUCUCUAUUUUUUAUUAUCUGACGUUUAGACUUUUGGCACACAUCUUUACUUAUAAAUAUGUUACAAUUCACUUUUUAGUUAGAAAAUAAUAAAAAGAUAAUAUAUUUUAGUUAAAAAUGUAAUCACCAUGUUUUUCAAUGUUAUUUUAGAAGAUUGAGUUUUUUAGUCAGAAAUAUAAAAAAAGUAAUAUAUUUCAAUUAAAAGGAUUAACUGGUUAUAUAGAUAGGCCCGUAAUUUGGUCUAAAUUAAAAAGAAUAAUUGCUUAUAUAGAUAGGUUCAGAAUAAUUGGUUAUAUAAAUAGGUCCAUAUUUUGGCCUAAGUAACGACCUACCAAACUUUAAUGUUUUGGCUUUAAAAUGAUUAAUUGGUUAUAUCGAUAGGCCCGUACUUUUGCCCAAAUUUAAAAAAAAAUAGUUAUAUAGAUAGGCUCAGAAUAGUUGGUUAUAUAGAUAAGCCUCGGUUUUAAAAGGAUUAAUUGGUUAUAUAGAUAGGCUGGCCCAAAUUAAAAAGAAUAAUUGGUUAUAUAGAUAGGCCUAGAAUAAUUGGUUAUACGGAUAGCAUGUAUUUUGGCUCAAGUACCGACCGACCAAACUUUUAAUGUUUCGGUUUUAAUAGUAUAGAUAGAUAGAUAUAUUAUAGUAUACAUAUAUGCGUAUAUAUUUUUUAAAGUUUGACUUUAGUUUUUGGUCUAGUCAAAUAGGUCUUAUAUUUGUUCUAUUUUUUGAUUAUAUAUUUGUUUUAUCUUUUGAUUUGUUUAUAUUUUAUUUUGUAGCCCACUAAUUUUGUUUGUAGCUUGCUAAUUAUAAAAGUCCGUAUAAACACCUGUGUACCGACCGAUCAAAAUUUUAAUGUUUCAGCUUUAAUAGUAUAGUAAUUUUUAAGUUUUGACUUUAGUUUUGGUAUAAUCAAAUAGGUUUUAUAUUUGUUUUAUGUUUCGAUCGAAUAUUUGUUUUAUAUUUUGAUUUGUUUAUAUUUUGUUGAAAACCCACUAAUUUUGUUUAAAGUCCGCUAAUAUAAAAGUCUGUAUAAAAGCCCGCGUAUCGACCGACCAAACUUUUAAUGUUUCGGCUUUAAUAGUAUAGUAUAGAUGCAUGUAUUAUGAUAUAUUUAACUUGAUCCUGUGAUGCUAAAUGGGUUUUGAUAUCAUGUUUUUGUUUCUUAAAAUAAUAUUGAACUGUAGUGAUGCUUUUUGUUCCUUCAAUUUGUUCUGAUAUUUAAAGAGCUUUAUCGAAUCAAUUCUUUUAUAGUCCCGCUAGAUGGGAAAGGGAUUCUAACAAGGAGAACGGGAAACAGUUGUAAAAGUGACACUUGAUACAAUUGCUCUUGCCUUCAAAAUUGUUGCAAAAUCUUGCAUAUUAACAUUCUUGAGUUUGUAUAUAGAGAGCCAAUUAGGGGUGAGCAAAAAAAACCGAAAAACCGAAACCGAGCCGAAAAACCGAAAAACCACACCGAAAAAAACCGAAACCGACAAAAACCGAAAAAAACCGUAGCUCAACCGAACCGACGGUUACGGUUUUACACCUAAAACCGAACCGAAAAACCGAACCGCUUAUAUAAUAUUAUAUAAUUUAUUAUAUAUUAUAUAUUUUAUAUAAAAUAAAUUAUUACAUUGGUAUUAUUGGUAUAUUAUCUGCUAAGCAAGGAACUAUCCACCUCAACUAUAGUUACAAGUCAGCAAGUUACAGUAGUUUGUUAUAUUUAAGUAGAGAGAGAGUAGUAGAGUAGUUAGUAAUUAACAUCAUUUCCAUAAAGAGAUACUGUGUAACUAAGCCUUGUAUUGAAUUCUGAUAAUUUCUAAGUAAUGCAAGUUCGUUUCCUUAAAAAAAAAAAACACUGGGCUGAUUCAUACUUUACAUUUCUGGAUCAUCUUUACAUACCAUAAUAGUGCUCAUCUACUUCAUUUCGAUUAUAUUAAUAGGUAUUUAUAUUUUAAAUAUUUUCUUUCUUAUUUAUUUUGGUAAAAUACGUACUAAUGAAUAAUAUUUAAUUAGUGAUUAUACCUUAUUUUUUAUUAAAAAUUUUUUUGAGUUGAUUAUUAAAUUUGUAUAAUAUUUUUUAUUAUAAAAAAUCGAAAAAAAACCGUAACCAAACCGACGGUUAACCGAACCGAAAAAAACCGUUUGAAACGGUUCGGUAACGGUUUUAGCUAAAAACCGAGCCGAACCGACCCGUGCACACCCCUAGAGCCAAUGACACGAGGACUUAGGGCAAAUCCAGGAGUGGCCUAAAUGUUCAAAUUUGGACCGGUUUCGGCCUAAAACUUCUCAACAGUGGCCUAAAUCUUGGUCCAAAUUUAGGCCGCUGAAGAGUACCAGUUUAAAUUUAAGCCGAAAUUAUUCGCCGGCCUGAAUCUUUUUAGUAAUAUAAUAAUAACUUUUUAUUUAUAAUUAUUAAAUAGUUAUAAAUUAUAUUUAAUAUAUUUUACUUAAAUAAUUAUAUAUAUAUUGAUUAUGAAAUUUAAUAAAAUUAAACACUUUUCAAAUAAUUCAAAUUAACAAUACAUUUUAAACCUAAGAUAAAGAUUACAUUCGAUAAAAUUUAAUUGCAAACACACCUUACACAAAAAUGCUAGAUUUCAACAAUACUUUCGAUUUAGUCUUAUAAUUUUUUUAAAAUUUUGAAUAGAAAAUAAAGAAUAAUAAUUUUUAACUAAUAAAUAGGAAUCAAAAAAUAAAAAUAAUUAACAAAUAAAAUAAUAUAUAUAUGAUAGGAAUCAUAUAUUGAUUUUAUGAUAAUGUAAAUGAUUCUUGAUUAGUAUUGUGUUUGACGGGCACGGGAGGCGGCCCAAACUAAUUUUUAUCUAAAUAAUAAUAAAUUUUUUAUUGUAUCAUGUUUGACGGGAAAGUGGAUAAAAUAAUUUUUUUAUCUAUGUUAUAAUAUAUUAUUUUUGUUAAAACGGGACCACAGUUCAAAAUACUUUUUAUCCAAUUAUAAUCUUUAAUUUUAUCAUAAUUAGAAUAAUUUUUAUUAGUAUUGUGUUUGACAGUAAGGCGACUCAAACUAAUAUCUACAUUAUAAUGUUUUGUUAUUAGUACUGUGUUUGACAAGAGAGCGGCUAAAACUAAUUUUGACCUAAAUUAUAAUAUUUAAUUUUAUCAUAAAAUUUUAUUAUUAGUAUUGUGUUUGAUAGGAUGACCACUUAAACAAAUUUUAAUACCAAUUAUAAUAUUUUAUAUUUGUGACAUCUUUAACGGGAAGAUGACUCAAAAUAAUUUUUAUGCUAUUAUAAUACUGAUUUAUAUCAAAAUUUAUCACGCCGCCGCGAAGCGCGGCUUUUUUCACUAGUUUAUAUAAUGAAUGAGAAUUGAAUAAGAAUAAGCACAUUGCAAGCAAGUCGCAUAUUGGAGAAGAAAAAAAGAAACUGCUAAAACAUCCAUUAGAUGAGAAAUGCAGUCUAUUUAGUACAAACAUUUCAGAAAGUCAAAAUACCAAAAAAUUUGAGGGAGUUUUCCCAUAAAUAUGAAGAUGAAAAAUUGCGGAACAUUUUCUAUGCCCGUUAAACUAGUAGAUCACAUUCUUGAGAUCUGAAGAGGAAUUGUUGCCUCGAUAAACUCUUCUCUAAAUGAAACAAACUGCAAUUUUUCCCAGCGGCCAAUUUUUUCAUUUAGAAGCCUUUUGCAAUUUUCUGCAGCCAUAACUCCAGAUGAGUAGGCUCCAUGUACAGAUCCCUGAUUCUCCAUGCUGACAGCUUCACCCGCAAAGAAAAGAUUACCUAAAGGUGCUCGAAGCCUCUCAUAUACAUCAGUUGGCUUUGCAACAAGAUCGUAGGAGUAGCAUCCAAGAGAAUUGGGGUCAGUUCCCCAGUGAGAAACAAGGUACUGAACCUGUUUAUAGAAACACAAAGCAGGUGGUUAGGAAUAUCUACAAUUUAUCUUGAUUUCUCUCUGCACUGCAUAAACACAUCUACUAGGUAACUAGGCUCUCAAAAAUAACCGAAGUCAUCAUUGCAUAUAUACAAAGAUAAAAGACAACUAACAUACACUUCUUGUUUUGCCACUGAGAAUCUUUUUUAUUGUCAAAUAAUAAGAAGAUAUACUUUUGCAUCAUACAUGAAAGAAAAUUGCAUGCACAGUUUACAAUGUACAUAAUGAUUGUUUUGGUUUAACUUCUAAUGAGUAAUGAACUGAAGCAGGCUAGCCUUAUCAUAGUGAGUUCUAUAUGGUCAGAUUCAAAAGUUUCAGAUAUUUAAAAUAUAUUACUAUCACAGUCACAUUAAAUAACUAAAAACUUACAGGUUCAGUAGCAUCAGGGAACAUUUUCUUAAGCUGCAACAUAACAAAAUUGGCUGCUUCCUCAUCAGAUAACUUCUCAAGGUCAUAAGCAAAUCUUCCAGCAGCCAUAUAGACAAGGACAGGAUUCCCUGUUGCUUUGUGGAGAUUAAGAAAAUAUCCACAAGCAUACGAAGUAGGAGCAGCCACACCUAGUAGUUCAACAUUUGGCCAAAAGACCGUAUCAAACUGUAAUGCAAUCUUAUUUUCAUUCCCCACACCGAGAUCUGAUAUUGCAUUAACCUUCCAAUCUGGCAAUCUCGGUUCAAACUUGAUUAAGUUAGCUUUGAGAACCCCGAUGGGUACAGUUAAUAUGACAGCAUCUGCAACAAAACUCCUCCCAUCUUCCACUGUAACUACCAUCUCACCAGGUCCAUUUGAUAUUUUUGAAACCCUGUAAUGACAAUAAACAGAUAGUGUCAAAGGUCCUAUUAUCCAAAAAUAAAAUAAAAUUGCGUAAACAACAAAAUUCUAAAAUAAUUUGUGUAAAUAACUCAGAUAAAUUAAAAAUAAGUGUUCCCCAAACAAAAACAAACAGAAGCAACAUGAAGUUAAAAUUAUAUUUAUAGAUAUACGUAAACCAAUAUCAAUAAUGGUGUGCAAUCAAAAUACCACUGUAAACGAUAUUUCAUAUCCCCGAACUGCAGGUUGCAACUUGAAAGCAGCCUUCAGUAGCAGAUAAUUAAACUGUGAACUAUCUUAUUAAGUCGUACUAGUGCUCAAGGCUCCAACAGUACCAUGAUCUGUAAGGUCCCUAUCUAAGCAGCAUUACUUUAUUAUUCAUAAAGAGGCUGCCUACAGGGUUCAAACUUCAAACCCGCCUAGCAGAUAGCAAGUAGACACUGGACAAUCGCAAAAAAAAUCACAAUCUAACCAUCUUCAUAGCUUAAAUAAUAUUUUGAAAGGUAGGGCCACCUAAAGAUUGUAGGAUUAUAAGUCUUAUUCUGUAUUCAGUAUAAAAUAUCAAAAAUUUAGUGUUAUACUUAAAUCAGUUAAAGCGCCAAUUUCAUUAAAUUUAUCAACUGCCUGUAUUUUUCCAGCAGUUGAAGCACCACGGCUGAUGACCUAGUUUGCAAGUACAAUAAGAAGCUGAUUUUACUCAUCUCUUACAAGUUUGACGCAUCAAGAUAAUAAUGAACUUUUCUGGUAUAUGUAUUUUAGUGCAUCUACUUAACUUGCCUAAUGGGCCAAGAUUUCCCAUUAUCUUAUUGGCCACUGGUCAGCAAGUCAUGCAUAACCUUCUAUGAUGUGUUAAAAAAAAAGAUAUGACAUCAAAGAUAGUGUAAGCAUACCGGUGAUUUAAACGUAUAUCAAUAUCUUUCGAGAGAGCCUUAAUAACAGGAUGAUAGCCUUGCACCAUAAGUCCGUGACCACCGGAUAGGACAUGUUCCUGUUUAUCAAGGAAACGCACUAAUUGUAAGCAUUAUUAGUUAACCUCAUUAAAAUUAAAUUCACUAUGAUGAUACAGGUUACAGUUCUCAUUUAGUUCAAUUUCUCUGAUCUUAUAACUAAAACCUGGGCUUACAAAACUUUUUCUCAUAUACUAAACUUGUGUAACUGUUACUAUCGGUAGCAAAAGCUGAACUACAUUACUACACAGCUGGUACAUAUAAAAUACUAAAGCUCAGAGAGACGAUAUAUAUAAUUUUGAUUCUAAAGCUUAAAAUUGGUCAGUUAACUUCACUUGGUACGCUGAGAAUUGGAUUUUAUAUAUAUGUGUAGAUAUAUAACUUGCCUCGUCCCAGUUUCUUAGAGAUAUCAUAUCCGCAUCUGCAGCAAACCAAGCUUCCAUCCUACAUAUGUACCACUGCAGAACUUCAUGGGCAAUACCUUCUUGUCUGCACAGCACAUUAUUAUGUUUAUGAACAACAUGAUCCAUUUUCAGAACCAUGAAUUGGAAAAUUAAAUUUGCAUCCACAAAACUAGCCUAAUGAUAGGUUUAUACCUAAGUUCAGGAUGCCUGUCAAGCACAAUUGACAUUGCUUGAGAAACAGACAUGUCAUUAGCAUGCUCAUCUCGUACAGUUUCAGUCUACAUUAUAAAGAAGAGUAAUUAGUAGCUAAGCUAUCCAAAAAAAAAAUAAAAUUAUACAAAUGUAGCAGUAUAUACAGAACUCAAUGGCAGAUGAAAUACCUGCUUAAGGAUUUUCUUAAAGGCUUCUCCAACUUCGAUCACAAUUUGUUGAGGAAUCUUACGACCAUCCAUUGUAAAAAGUGUAUAACUGAAACAGGAUCAAAUUUAUAUCAUCAAUAUGAUUUCCAAAAAAGAUUAAAUAUUCAUAACCAUUAAAUUAACAACCAAGUCUGGCUAUCAGAGAUGUGAGAGCUUAAAUCUCUCUCCUGAGUGUUGUAGUACAUACAAUGCAAGUAUAUAUAAGUAUACUGCCUUAAAUAGUUAAGCUAACACUUGUCAAUGUAGAAUACUAACUACCUUUCCAAAUCAUGAUCAUAGAGAACAGAGUUAUCGCCACUUGUCCUGUAUAAUGUAAGCCCCAAUCGACGUAUGAGGGGUGCUAGAGGAUUCUCGUUGCAUACACCAUGCAGCCUAAAGAAAAUCAAAAUGAGCCAAAAUAUAGUCCAAGUAAAUCAUAAUUUGCUUAAAAGGUACAGGAAUAUGUCAAAGAUGGAUUAGAUUCAAUAGAUAUUGGCUAGUAUUAGAAGAUAAACUACAGCCUAUAGAGGCCUUAGGAUUAUAGUAUGACACGUAAAACUGGAGUCAGGAGAUCCUACUAUAGAACCAUAUCAGAACCUCUUAACAUCCCACUUUUCUAAUGUCAAUCAGAAGGUGUUACAGUAUGUUGCCAAGUAAAAAUAAAACAAUAUGACAUGCUAUUUUUAUUCAUGUUACACUGAAAAGAGAAUAACUGAAAAAGAUAAGAGAAUAAUGACUGACCAAGAUGCUCCCAUAUCAACUGGGCAGCCAAAUGAGUAGUCAGUAUGAAUGCGUCCACCAAUUCUAUCUCGUGAUUCCAAUAACGUCACCUAAUCAAGAUGAAAAAACAGAUCAAUAACAUGAAAAUGGAGAAGCUUAUGCCAUCCAGACAAACCUUAACACUAAAAGGUACCUUGUAAGAUGCAUUGUGGAGGACCCGUGCAGCAGCAAUUCCAGAAAUACCUCCUCCAAUGACUAUGACUGAAGGAAGUGAGCUACGAUGUCUUUCAAAAUGAGAAGAAAAACUACCUGUAGAUUACAAUAAAUACAUAAAUUACUCUCUAAUUUCCAUAUCAUACAAAAAGCAGUCAAAUUUUUCCACAAACACACAAAUCACACUAUCUCCAGUGUUGGCUACCUCUUAGGCCUAAAACCAUCUAUUUCCGCUUUCCACAUAACACAUGUAUAUGUCGAAAUAGUGCAACCAAAUCACAUCAUUUGAAACAUAACAAGUAACGACUGGAACAACAAAUCUUUACUCCUUAUAUUCACAAAUAACAGUACUGCACCCACAUAGGAAAAAAAACCCAUAUAAUCAUGUAACUAGCAGGUGUACAAAAAGAGACACUAAAUAGUUUCUUUUCACUAAAUUACUACAUUGUAUCAAAACCCCAUCUCCAGUUUUACAUGUAUCAUCAUUUAAAUAACAAUUCACAUACAAUAAUGAAUCAAACAAAAAUCACAAAAUCAAAGAAACACACAAUAAUUCAAAAAAAAAAACUAAAUAAUGGGAAAUGAAAAGAAAACAACAUACCAUCAAGUAAAUCAGUGUCUGAAAUUGAAUCCUUAAGCUCCAUUAGAAAAGAAACCCAAAAAGCUAGGUCUAGAAAUUAGAUUAGAAGAGAAAAAGAUGGAAAUUUGAAAGAUGGGCAGUGCUCAAAAAUGAAUUCAGAUUAAUUCGAGAUCAAAGGGUGUAUAGGAAUCAAGAAAUUAGAGAUCAAUUGAAAAGAAUGAUAAAGAAGAAAGAGGAGAAGGCCGGCAAUAAGGCGGCUAACAUUAGAAGAACAAGGUAAUUUCUCAAAGUCUCUCAUAAUCUAAAGAGAUUCUCAACCAGAUUGUUUUUAUUAAUCUAUCCAAACCAAUCGCAAUUCUUUGCGUCGGUUGCAUAGAUCGUUAACUACCCUUCUCUUCUCUCUCUCUCUCUCAAUCUAUCUCUCUCCCAAUCUCUCUCUCUGGAAAACUCUCUCUCUAUUCUCUCUGCGAUGGUUUGUUAUGUCAGGAGGUAGGGAAGAAGUGUGUGUAUAUAUAGGGGGGAGUUACGUAGAUAUUAUGAAUAUCGGAGUAUAUACUAGUUUGGUUCUUGUAGAAUGUGGAGUAUUUACACCAGUUUUUGUUUUCUAGAUAAAGUAGGUCUUUUUAUUUUUUAUUUUAAUUGAGAUAUUUAAAUCUAGUGCCAAUAAUUAUCCUCUGGGAGUCUGGGUUCUACGAACGUGGCUUAUCAUUUGCGAACGUCCAUGUACAGCCCCUGUCUAAUCUAGGUGUUAUUAUUGAAUAAAUAGUUACUUCCUCCGUCCUGUCCCGUCCCGAUACAUAUGUCUCUUUUGACCAAGGUUGUAAAAAUUUAAAAUCGGAUCGAAUCGUUUUUUUUCUGAAAAAUGAAUACUCGGAUAUUAAAUUUUUCAUGUUUCAAAUUCAAUUUCAAUCAAAUUUUGGUAUAAAAAUUACACGUGUCUAAACUUGAAACUUAAAUAUAAUAAUUUUUUGUUAUUAGUAUAUAAAAAUAUGUUUUACAUUAAUCAUAAUUAUCGAAUAUGAUCAAUAAUUUAUUAAUAAAUAAAUAAUAUUAUUGACAAUACAUUAAUAAUAAUUGAGUUCACAUUUCAAUUAUAUAUAGAGGUAAUUGCAUAUCGCACCCCCUAACUAUCGUUCAAAAACGAUAUUGUACCCAUACUUUGAGAAACUCAACUCGCACCCCUUAUAUUUACAUUUCAACAAUGAUACGCACCUCUUCCAUUAAAUUCCGUUAAAUUACUUCCUUCGUCUCAAUUUACAUGUCCCUUUUGCUUUUCGAGUAGUCAAAUUGACUAAUUUUUGACCAACUAUUAGAAAAUAUUUUUAUUAUUUUAGAAAAUAGAAAGUUGCAUAUUAAAAUAGACUAGAUUUAUUUUUUGAUAUGUAAAAUCAUUUUGACUUGGGAAUAGCUUAAUUAAACAAAAUUUUAAAAAAAAACCAUCAAAAAAGUAAAUCUAGUCUAUUUUAAUAUGUAACUUUCUGUUUCCUAAAAUAAUAAAUAAAUAUUUUCUAAUAGUUGGUCAAAAAUUAGUCAAUUUGACUUCUCGGAAAGCAAAAGGGGCAUGUAAAUUGAGACGGAGUGAGUAUUUUAACGGAAGUUAACGGAAUUUAACGGAGGGGGGUGCGUAUCAUUCUUGAAAUGUAAAAUCCCCUAUAAAAUUAUUUUUUUUAUCUUACCUAGGGAUGGGCACGGGGCACUUCGGGGGCGGGGAGUGCUAUCCCCGACCCCGAUCCCCGAAUUCAAUACCCCUACCCGACCCCGCCCCGAACCCCGAACGGGGAUUAUUUUCCUCCCCGAUCCCCGCCCCGAACGGGGAAUGGGGUUCCCCGCGGGGUUUCGGGGAAUUUUAUUUUUUAAUAAAAACAUAAUAAUUUUAUAAUAUAUAAUAUACUUUUUAAUUCAAAAACAAACUACAAACUCCUAAUAAAAUAAUAAAAUAAUAUUAUCUUAUAUUUUCAACCUCAAAUCAUAUUAAAAUUGAUUUAUAAUAUAAAUAAACAACAAUUUAAAAUUAUAAAAUAUAUUAUAUUACAAUAUAUUUAUAAUCAAUCAAUUAAUCGGGGUCGGGGAUCGGGGCGGGGAGACACCAAUCCCCGACACCGCCCCGAUCCCCGAAUUUUUUAUAAACAUUUCCCCGAUCCCCGCCCCGCUCCCGAAAAAUUACCCGAAUCUCCGACCCGAACGGGGCGGGGAUCGGGUCGGGAUCGAGCGGGGCGGGGUAAAUGCCCAUCCCUAAUCUUACCACGUUCAACAUCUGGACCCGCCAUAAUCCAUAUACACUGGGAGGUCGAUAAAUUUAUUUAUUCAAAUAUUGAUAAACACAUAUUUUAAAAUAAAAAGAAAUUUUCUAAAUAAUAUCUUUUGAGGUAAGAUGCGGGGUGAAGUUUAAAAUUUUCUAUUGCAUAUAUUAAGAUUAUAUCAUCUAAAAGUUUUGAAAAAACACAUUAUAUUAUAUUAUAUAUUAUAUAAAUGUUCGAUAAUCAGGCAGAAUCACUUAGCUGUAUAAUAGGCGACCAUUUCGCACGGUUCCGGGACUUGCAUAUAAUAUUGUUAGUCGAUAAACUUUCUCGAAUAAAAAACAUUUCUUCUAUAAAUAUUUUUUAUCUGAGUAGGUACACUCCGAUAAAAAAAAUAACCAAUACUUGAUCUAUUAAAAGAAAUAUUUUAAAAAUGAAAAUGAUAUGAAUUUCAGUCAAACAAUAAUUAAUUUGACUAGUUAAGUCAAAAUGGACGGAGCGAAAAAGAGUAUUAUAGAUUAUGACUUAACGUGACUUAUUCGAUAAGUUGAGAGUUUAAAAUGUCUGUUUGGAUAAUUUUGAUUUAUUAAUGACUUUUUUUUUAACGUAGGAACCCGCAGCCGCUACCCUUCGGGUGGGUACUGGGUAAACCCACGAGCUCACGCAAUAACAGGCUCUGAUCCAGGAGCCAUAAUCACAAAUUCUGCUCUCUUCGGGAGUCGAACCAGUGACCAAGAGGAUACAUGUCCUCUCUUUAACCAGCUGAACCAACCCUUGCUUGUGAUUUAUUAAAAAGGUAAUAACUCAAAUAAAAGUGAUUUAUGAGUGAUUUGUGACUUACGAGUAACUUUUAUUAAAGAAAGUUCAAAAAUUAGUUACUAAAAAAUAUCUCAAAUUAACUUCUGACUUUAAGUCAAUUUAUGACUUAUUGCUGACUUUAGGCCAACUUCUGACUUAAUACACAAAUAUACAUUUUUCAGCUUAAAAUCACGAGUGAGAGGUUACUUAAAAUCCGGGAUUUAAUCAAUCAGUUAUAGACAACCUUAGCAUGAGUAUUUCGAGUUGAAUACAAGGUUAUUAGGUUUAAAAAUAUGAACAAAGUUCUAUGUAGUCCACAUAUUUACUGUAGUACCGUAGACCACGUAUGUUCUGCAACUAUAGAAUGGCGUAAAAACAUUGAAAAAUGUGUUAUUUUGCCAAUCAUGUUCUAUAAACAUCAUUAUUUUGUUAAAAAUUUUGACAAUCCUAAACAAAACAUAUUAUUCUGCAAAACAUGUUAAGUUUGCAGAAUAUAUUUACAUAUUACAGAACAUAUGUGUUCUACUUGUCGAACAUAAAUGAUUUUCAAUAUUUUUCAUGAAAUAGUGAUAUUUAUAGAAUGUAUUUCACAAAAUAACAAGUUUCAUGCAUUUUGCAAUGUUUUUAUGACAUUCUAUAGUUGCAGAACAUACGUGCUACGGUACCACAGUAAAUAUGUGGAUUACAUGACACUUAACUCUUAAAAAUAUAUAUUAUUGUGAAAAUUAUAUGGAAUAAAUAUCAAGGCCAAGUUGUAAAAUUGGUUAUAUAUCAAGAGCUCCUAAGUUUAAACCCUAAAAGUUAAUUCUGUCGGCCAAUUAUUUUCUAACCAACAUUGGGUAUAGGUGAAAUUUUUCAAAUCAAUUAUUUUUUUUCUUUUUUUCUUAUUUUUUUAAUAAUACUUCUUUUCAGGUAAGGAUUUUUAUCUUUCAUAAUUGUAUCGUUUGCUUGAUAUAAUUUUGUCUAGGUGUAUUUUGUUAAUUUAUUUGAAUUUUGUUUAUUCUUUUUUUUAUGAGCUUAGAGGGUUUUUUUUUUUGUGUUUGGUGUGAUUCAAUGUCAAUGACGUUAGAUCUAUCAUAUUUUCAAAGAUCUCAUGCAAUGAUAAAUAUUUAUAUGACAUUGCAAUUACGAUCGAUAAUUCAAACCGGUCAUGUUGAAGCCGACAAAUGUACAUAUAUCAACUUCGACAAAUCACUUGAUUGUAUUUUUAUAAAAUCUGAAUUAAUCAGCGAUAUGAUUUGUUUUUAUAUUUGUUCGACUUGAUUGUUUUGUAAAUAACAUAUAAUCUUUCAUUAUUGAAAGAAUUUUUACUUUUUUCUUAAAAAAAGAGUAAAUUGCCAUAUUCCUGCCCCGUUCAUGUCAUGGACAUUUACCUUAUUCAGGAUUGCUUAGGUCAUGAACAUUAUCCUAUUUGUGGGUCGUUUGGUUUAUCGUAAACAGCUUAUUGCACUUUGUAACUCUCAUUAGCAAAUCAAACUCCAUACUUUGAAACGUGAUAGUUUGUAAGCUUAAGUUUCAAUUAGUUUUCGGUUUGUAAUUCUGACCCACACAUCCGUUAAAAACAGCCGUUAACUUUAAAUGUUUGAGAGAUAACGAUGUGUAUAUUAGUUUCUAACAGCUAUAUUAGCCAUGUGACCCCUCAAAGUUUAUGUAUUAUAUUUUGAAAUUAUUUCUGAACACAUAUAACGAUGUAAAAAAAUUUAAAAUAAAUUUUAAAAUAUGUAUUUAUUUUAAAUAAGUUACAUCGUAUGUAAAAAAAAUGAGUUUCUAAAUCUAAAUAAUAUUAAAAUUUAUUUUAAUUUUUUUUACAUCAUUGUGUGUGUUCAGAAAAUUUUUUAAAAAAUAAUACAUAAAUUUUGAGGGGUCACAUGGGGUAAAGUAGCUGUUAGAAACUAAUAUACACGUUGUUACCUCUCAAACAGUUAAGUUUAACGGCUGUUUUUAAUGGAUUUGUGGGUCAGGGUUUCAAACUGAAAGCAAAUUGAAACUAAGGGUUACAAACUAUCACGUUUCAAAGUAUGAGAUCUAAUUUACUAAUGAGCCAAAAUUUAGGGUUACAAAGUGCAAUUAGGGAUGGGCAUCGGGUCACUUCGGGUCGGAGAUCACUAUUACCGGCCCCGAUUCCCGAAUCUUAACCCAAUCCCCAUCCCCGGCCCGAUCCCCAUCGGGGAUUAUUUUUCGAUCCCCAUCCCCAGCCCGAUCGGGAUUCGGGGAUACCCGCGGUGAUUCGGGGAUUUUUAAUUUAAACCAAAUUUUCUAAUUAAAUACUUAAAUUCAUAAUUAUCAUUAGUUUUUAAUAUGUCUUCUUAAUACCUCAUUAGUUUAAUUUAUCUUCAAUGAUUUAAUUAUGACUUUUUUAAUUUUAAGACUUAUAUUAAUAGAAAUAAAUAUUAAAAAUUUAUUUCAAUAAAUUUAAGUAUUUUAGAUAUAUAAUUAUAAUAUAUAUAUAUAUAAAUAAACAGGCGAUAACUAAAGUUGCCCCUAAAAAAGUAUAUAAAUAUAUUAAUAAAUAAUUAUAAUAUAUAUAUAUAUAUAUAUAUAUAUAUAUAUAUAUAAAAUAAUCGGGUCGGGGAUCUGGCUGACAAUCGGGAAAAAUCGGGUCGGAGAUCGGGGAUCGGGCCGGGGGAAUAUGAAAAACCGUACCUGGCCCGAUCCCCAAUGUUUUUUCAAGAUCGUCCUCGUUCGCCGACCUGUGCCCGAAAAAAUCCCCGAAUCCCCGCACCAUUCGAUGCGGGGAUCGAGUCGGGAUCGGGCGGGUAGGGAUUAAUGCCCAUCCCUAAGUGUAAUAAGCUCUAUCUUAAAUAAGCGAUUUAUCGUUGAAUAUAAAUAAGUGUAUUAUAAUUUACUAGCUUAUAGCCCGUGCAAGGCACGGGAGCUUUUUAACUAUUUAUAAACUUUUUAAAUAUAUUUUAAAUGGUGUGAAAAAAUUUAAUUUAUAAAUAAUAAAUUAAAAUUGUAUGUAUCAUGCCAACGUAUUAAAUUCUUUCUAUCAAAUUUUAAAUUAUUUUAAGUAGAAUAUGUGACGCCAACUCCUAUUAGAUUAUAUUUAUAAAUGUAUUUUAUAUUAAAAUUAUUAUAAUGUGAUUUAAAUAUUUUUCUAAAAAUUUUUAUGGUUCGAGAUUAAAAUUGAUAAACACGAUUUGUUUUGAAUUAAGAAGAUGAAUCAUAAACAUGCAAUAAGAUGGUAGAAUUUGCUUUGGAUUAAGAAAAAGUUUUUGUAUUCGUUCCUCACAUAAAUCGGGCUUAUUAAUUUUGAAAUAUAUUAGAUAAAAAUAAUUUUGUGACGGUGCGAUUUAUAUGAUUCUACAGAUAAAAUUGGUAGAAAAUAUUUAUUUUGGAUUAAAAAAAAUCAUGAACACGUGAAAUACAGAAUUUGUUUUGGAUUCAGAAAAGAAAUUAUAAACAUGCAAGUAGAUAUCAGUUGUCUUAUGAAACAGAAUUUAAUUUUGUUCUAAUCUAACGGUGCUUAUUUGUUCAAUAUAGGAUCCGAUGGAUAAAAAUAAUUUUUUGACGGUGUGAUUUAUACGAUUCUAUAAUUAAAAUUUGUCGGAAAUAUUUAUUCUGGAUUAAAAAAACCAAAAACACAUGAAAGACAGAAUUUGUUUUGGAUUCGGAAAAGGAAUUAUAAACAUGCUAAGUAGAUAUCAGUUUCCUUAUAGAACAUAAUUUAAUUUUGUUCUAAUCUAACGGUGCUUAUUUGUUCAACAUACGAUCCAACGGAUGAUAAGUUUUUGGACCAUAGGACCAUGCGACCAAAUUAUCUCCCUUACGCUUAUUAUAUAUAAGUAUAUAAUAAGUGAUAUCUAGAGAUGCUUCUUUUGGGUGUUUUUAACACUUCCUGCUUGUUAUCAAACACCCACUUAAUUAGUUCAUGGAUUUAUCGAUCUCUUUGAUGUUACGGCAGAGCCGUUGAGGUUAUGGUGUUUGUGUGAUACUAUCGGUCUAUCGCCUCUUGCUUGCAUAAUUGUAUCUUCCUUGUGCUUUCCUCCUAAGAUAUUUUCUGGCACCAAAACAAAUAGUGGGCCGACUCAUUCGUAGAGAUCUACUGUAUUGCAUAUUUGCAUCAGAGGUGCUGGCUCAGCUUCUUUUUACACGUUCUUUCUCUGACAAAGUUAUGCAUACAUUUACUCGAGUUUUUCCCUUAUCCAUCCUAACCAAUGUAAUGAAUUCAAAUAAACUACGUAUAUAUUUAUACUAGCUUAUGGCAUUUGUAAUAUAUAUGGCAGAUAUAUUUAUAUAGUAAAAUAUAUAGUAAAAUAAAAAGUUGUGUAUAUUAAAUUAUUAAUAUUUUCAGCUAUUGAAACAAAAUCCUUUUGUUGAAUAUCUGGAAAAGAUUAUCCGGGUUCUUUACUUUCUUUAAUUAUAAAUCCUUUACCGCAAUAUAUAUGUCAAACUAUCUUUACUUCCAGUCCCGGACUUUCAGCAUGAUUACAUAUGAUCCGUGUAUAGGUGCUAUUAGUAUUUGAUUGGGGCGGUGGAUUGUGAUCUCAUAAAAAACUACUCCUAUUAUUUCAUCAUAAUUAAGUACUGCCACAAAUCUUUAUGUCUUGCAGAGAAAACACACUAUCCAGAACACAUGUUUAGUUGAAGUUACACAUAACUCUGGAAAACUCGAGCCAAACAAUCCCCAGCAUGAUCAAAAAAACCAACCAAGAAUUUCUUCUUCAAAAGCAAAAUAAACCGUAGCUCAACCUACGAAACCACCCACUAAAGCAGGAGAAAACAAAGUAGCUUACCGCCAAAAAACCAGCACCAGGCCGACAUAUGUGGCAUGCUCCUCCAGCUGGUUUACCACAAUACCUAAUUUUAUUUAUUAUUUUUUAUUUUUGUCCGGUCGCAAUACCUAAUUCUAGAAUACAAGUUCAUUUCAUGUUUUAGUGUAUAUAUAUUUCUUACUUCAUAAUCACAACUUUUUUUCAUUAAGAAAUGUAAUUAUACUGUUGAUUGAUGAAAUCUCGACUUGUCUGACAAUUUAAUUAUACAUAUAGUUUUUAUUUGGGCUGACCGGAUAGUGAAAAUUACAAUUUUCAAUUCAAGUUUUGUAAAUUAAAAUUUUUAAUUACAUAUUUUUAUUCAAAAAUAUACCCGAUCAAAACACGUAAAAAUAUGUGAUCAAAGCACGUAAAAAUAUGUGAUUAUAGUCAAAAAGUCAUGCUCCCUCCCUCCCUCUCAUUUCUUUACGGUUUUUUCACACUGCUCGACAGGCAUUUUAAGGCGCAUAUAAAAUAUAGUUCUAUAACUUAUUUUUGAAAAUUUUCUUUUUUGUAUAAAAAUUUAAACAUCAAAAUUUUAUUUAGAAGAAAAAAAAUUCAAAAUAAUUUAUCGAAUUACGUCUUACGAGAGCAUUAGAAUGCGUGUCGAGCCCUCGUCCCCCAAUAUAAACAAAUGAGGGGGACGGAGGGAGUAUAAAAUAUGAGAUAGUAUUUAGAAGUAGUCAAUAAUCCCAGUAUAUAAGAGUUCGUUCUAUAUGUUUAAAAUUCUUUUAUUAAAAAAAUUCUAAUUAGUCUUUCAAAAUAUUUCGUAGAUUCAUCCCGCACUCAUUAUCAAAAGGAUCCUGAUUUAUAAAAAAAUUAUUUGAUAAAUUUUUAAUAAAUCAUGAAUGUGUGGGUCAACUAAUUAUGAGCUCGUUUGGCUAAGUUAUGGUUUAUGACGUGCUUUAACUUGAUUUAUAAUCGGAUAAACUGAGAGAUUAAAAUUUCUAUUUGGAUAAUUUUGACUUAUUAAUGACUUAUGAGUUAUUAUAAUAUAAAUAUCAAAAUAAAAUGAUUUAUGAGUAAAUUAUAAUUUAUGAGUAAUUUUUAUAAAAAAAUUUAGUCAUUAAAAAAAUUACAUCAAACUAACUUUUAACUGUCAGUUUCUGACUUAUUUCUGAUUUUAAACCGACUCCUAACCUAUUACGCAAACAAACAUCUGUUAGUCCCAAUUGGUUCCGGCCACCAGCCAUGUACGCUGCCGUUUAAUACAACCAAAUUGUGACUAAUCAUCACUUUAUCAGUAUCAGACAAAUGGGGGCCCCUGGUAACACAAAAGUGUGGCCAGAAAGCAAGGUCUGAUACCAGAUUCCGCCUAUGAUGCCUUGGACUUUUUAGCACAGAGAUGGUAACAAACUAACAAUACAUGGAAAGACCGGUUCAUAUCAGUUUCCAGCGCUGCUUAACUUGUUUCAAUUUUUUGAAAUAUAUCAACUUUUAUUAAUAUUUAUUUAUGAAAAAUAAAUCCAUAAAUAUAUAUAUAUUUUUAAGACAAUUGCUUACUUCAUAAGAAAAUAGUUAACAUACAACUACAAUCUCUUUUCAAAAUAUACAAAUAUAUGCUUUAUUUAGAAAAAAAAUCCAAAGCACGCCAAUACAUUGCAACUAGAUUUCCAAGUAGGCGGUCCUUGUGGUCCAAAAUAUUAAUUUCACCACAAAUAUGGACAGGUCCUUUAUUUGAUUUCUUGAAAAAUAUCUAACUAACUUUAACGUUUAGUUGUUGAUAUAGAUACAUACGUGAACUGAUAGAAUUUUGUGGUUGUAUCGUAAUGGAUGGUGAUUCCCGACAAACACAAAGCAAAUUAUUGAUGGAGUGGACAACUAGACACAGGCCCACAGCUAGAUUUUGCUGGUUAAGGAAAACCAAUUACAAUUUGGUUUUUACAUCUGGUGGGCCCUUGCCAACUUUUUCUAUUCAUAGUCUACUUGUCCCAUCUUCGCAACUCCAACGUUAUCAUCACAUGCACAUCAAUAGCCUCGUCACGUCCCUCCAGGAUAAGAGUUUAAGUUUUCAAGCUCGUUCCAUGAAACUGCUAUUAAUCGUUUAAAGUUUAAACUCUUCGGACCAUGUAUACAGACAGAUACGAUGAUCAAUCAGAGUUGGAAAUAUACAGAAACAGAAGUGAUGGUUUUCAAAAAAAAAAAAAAAAAAAAAAAAAAAAAAAAAAAAAAAAAAAAAACGAAAAAAAGAAAAAAAAGAAAAAGAAAAAAGAAGUGAUGUAUCACAAGUAGUUACACGAGGAAGUAGUCGAAAGUUGAAUAUAUCUUAUUUAGUACUACUACCAUUGACUUGGCUUAACAUAUAACUUAGAGGGGUGUAUUAGAUUGAAAUUUUAAAGCAUUUUUUUGCAUUCAUGAAAUCCGAGGGUAUUCGAUUGGGAUUGUUUGAAAUCCGUUAAAUCUUGAGGUAUUCAAUUGGGAUUUCAAAUUAUGCUACAAAAUCUGGUGGUAUUCAAUUGAGAUUUUAAAUUAUGUUUUAAAAUCCGAUGGUAUUCAAUUGGGAUUGUUUAAAAUCCAUUAAAAUCUGAUGGUAUUCAAAUGCUGACGAUUUUUUUUACAUUUCAUAAAAUGAUGGAUUUUGUGGCAUUUUUCAGUGUAUUUUAAGUUUUUUGAAAUCCCACCAAAAUCAAUCGGAUUUUGAAGCAUUAUACUUAAAUCCUAUCAACUCUGCGACAUUUUAUCAAGAAUCCGCACAAAAUUAAAAUCUCAUAUAAUCCAUUAAAAUCCAUGAAAUCCAUAAAUUAAAAACAAUCUAUUAAAAUCCCAAUUAAAUACAGUUUUCUCAAUAUUAUGAGAGGCUACGGAUUGGGUCAUGAAAUAUUGAAGUGUAAAUUAUACCUCACGUAAAUUGGUACAUAUUAUACAGAAGCCCGUUUCCAUAACUCUAAGCACUUCAGAGGCCCAAUGCAUUCCUCUAAGACCACAGAUACGUAAAUCUUUUUUUUUUUUUUUUGAAAUAACAGAUACGUAAAUCUUAUGUCGGUAUUUUUUGACAGCACCCACACACGGAAUUUCUGGGCUAUCGUCAGCCCUGUGCGCGAGCCUGUGAUGAUCAUGAAUCCGUUUGACUGAGUUCAUGAUUUAUGAAUUAAUCUGAUUUAUGAUUUAUAUGUAAUUUAUAUUUUAUAAGUAAUUUUCAUCAGAAAAAAGUUUACAAAAAUUAAUUUAUGAAAAAUAUCCCAAACUAAUUUUUGUCUGCAAAUAAGUUUCUAUUUUAUUUCUGAAUUUAAAUCGACAUCUGACUUGUAACAAAAACAAGCAUUUUUUUAGUUUAAAGUUGAAAACAACUGUUGGGACAAACCAGCUCCAGGAGAAAGCACAUUGGCAGAUAUAAUAAGAGGCAGGGGCAUGUGCCCAACCUAUUUUAUUUUAUUUUAUUUUAUUUUUUCACAAUUUUAAAUUUUACAGAAUUACAAAAAUAUCCCCUACAAAUUUAGAAAUAUAUAGUUGUUCUCUAAAAAUUUACUUGGUACCCCCAAGAUUUUGUUUUUAGAUCCGCCCAUGUUCAUGAUAUCUCUUAAACAAAAGUGUAGAAGAGGUUACAAUGAAUUUUGGGAGACUACGUCAACAUUGUGGAUCAUGAAACAAUUUGAUUUCAUAGAAUGAAUUGGAUUCUAAAAAAAAUUCGUAGGCUGAUUUUUAGACGUGUUUUCAAGCUAUUUCAUUUGGAUUUAUGAUGUCGGACUACUUCAGAAUUAUAGAUAAUUCAACCAUCUUCGUAUGGACUGUAAACGUCCAAUUCUGUUCUAAUUCGAAUUGUGACUGAAACGAGAUUUGUUUUCGCAUGUCAUUUAUAAAAUCCAAAUUUUGAUCUAAUUAAGUAUAUAAACUCUGUUUAAUGCAAAAAUUUAAAAUAUUUAUUAUCCUACCAUUAAACAUUUAAAAUCAAUUAAUAAUAUCUCAAUUAAUUUUUAAUACUAAAAUUAUGGGAAUAAAAUCAUGUAUAUAUGUAUCUAUAUCCUUAUUAAUAAUAUACUAUGAUUGAAAAUUAAAUGUAUUGAUUAACCAUAACUUUCUUAUAAAUAUUUUUUUCAUAGAAUUCAUCUCGUGAACUUUUUUUUUUUGUUUUUGAAAUUCAUCUUACGACUCAUGUUAUAAUAUGAAAUAUUUUCAUAUUUUUUUUUAUUUUAGAUGCAAAUUAUUGUUUAUUUAAUUAAUGAUAGUAUAAUCAAGUAACCAUCUAUGUACUGUAAAAAAUUACCGCAGAAGCGACGCAGCCCCUUUUGGUUAGCGGUGAUAAAACACAACACAAUCCAACCCGAUCCAAUUGACCGGGAGGAUGAGCAAAUACGGAUUACAAAUUAGGGUUAAGCCAUCAUCGGCGGCGAGACCACCGGUGGCAAGACCCCCUCCCUCUGCUUUUCUCCACGACGAUGACGACGGAGACGUUGAGAGAGAUAUCUCUCGUCAAGCCUCUAAAAACAAGUCCAACAAAGACGUAACCAUCUCAUCCUUUUCUAUCUUCAUCUUCACUGUUUGUUUCAAUUGCGAAUUUGAUUUCUUAUUUUGUGUUUUUUAAAGUACGAGGAGUUGCAUAAGAAAGCGUUAGAGGAGGAUCCCAUGGCGUUUGAGUAUGAUGGAGUGUUCGAUGAUAUGAAGCAGAACGCUGUUCGUAAAACUACUCAGGAGAAACAAAAGAGAGAGGUAUAUAUUUCUUCUAUUUAAUUUAUCCUGUUAUAGCAACUGUCAAUAUUUGUUGAUCAAUCACUAAUUGAUUUCGUUUUCCGUAAAUUCUGAGAUUAUUUGGUGAUCAAUUGUUACGUGCUGAAUUAUGUAAGCUUUAAUAUGUAAAAUGUAAGCAGAGAUUUACAGAGAAAUGGAGUUUAGAGAGAGAAGGAAUAAUUCAUUUCAUUGCUUGAAGAAGAAGUUGUUACACAGCCCCCACUUAUAACAAAAGACAAAUAACAGAUAUAACAAAACUACGUCGUUUCUCUCCAUCUAGAUCCUUCUACUGUUACGCCAGCCCAAAUAAUAAAUUCAGCCCAUUAAGCACAUGAUAUUGUUUGUCAGCUAAAUAAAAUCAAGUGUGACUAAUUUCUUUUCCACUCGUGACAUUGCCCUGUUCUUGAAAAGCGGCGACCGCGCCGAGAAAAGUUGGAAAUUUGGACUGAAUGUAAUCAUAGUCUUCCCAAGUGGCAUCUUCGGGUAACUGAUCCUUCCAGUGAAUAAGCAAGGAGACUCCUGGCUUAUUUCCCUUUCUGAGAAGACGACGGUCUAAUAUAGCUGCAGGUUCUGGAUUGUCAGCUGGGGCAACAGUUGUUGGCAGGGUUUGAGAGACACUGUGGUGUGAUCCGAUAUGUUUCUUGAGGAGGGAGACGUGGAAAGUGUUGUGAAUACGGGCUGCAGUUGGUAAUUCCAAGCGAUAAGCAACAGAACCUAUCUUGUGGAUGAUUUUGUAAGGUCCAUAGUAUCGGGCAGAGAACUUGUUAUCUCUGGUUCCCUUGAGAGAAAUCUGUCGAAAGGCCUGAACUUUCAAGAAGACAAAAUCUCCGACAUUGAAGUGGCGCUCUGUUCUGUUCUUAUUAGCAUAUAAGACCAUUCUUUCCUGGGCGAGUGUGAGGUUGGACUUGAGAAGGUGUUGGAGUUCUGCACGUUGAGAAAUAAACUGAUCCACAGAAGCAAUGUUCGUUCGUUGGGCCUGAUGAUAAUUGGUGCUGGGGGGGUCCUGGCCGUAAAGAGCCUUAUAGGGAGUCAUCUUGAUAGCAGAAUGGUGGGAGGAAUUGUACCACCACUCAGCCAUUGGAAGCCAGUGAACCCAGUCUGUUGGUUUUUGGCUUGAGAGGCAGCGCAAAUACAUUUCUACGCACUGAUUUAAGCGUUCACUCUGGCCAUCAGACUGGGGAUGGUACGCUGUGGUGAGAUGAGAAGAUGUUCCCAUCGCUGCAAAGAGGUGGGACCAAAAUUGGCUCGUAAAAAUCUUGUCUCUGUCCGAAAUGAGAACUUUGGGUGGACCAUGCAGCUUAACAACAUGAUUGAGGAACUCCUGGGCAACUUGUGUGGCAGUGAACGGAUGUUUGAGGGGAAGAAGAUGAGCAUACUUUGUGAACUUAUCAAUUACUACCAGGAUAGUAUCAUACCCCUUCGAUUUUGGGAGACUUUCGAUGAAGUCCAUUGUAACUGUUUCCCAAGCUUGAGCCGGGAUUGGAAUAGGCUGCAGAAGUCCCGGAGAUGGAACAUGCUCGACUUUGUAACGCUGACGAAUAUCACAAGCCUGAACAAAGGAAGUAACUUCUUUAGUGAUGCUCGGCCACCAAAAUAGUGAGGUGAUCCUCUUUAUCGUGGCAUUAAUUCCUGAAUGACCACCUUCCUGGCUGCUGUGCAGAUUAUGAAUAAUGUCAUGCCGAAGUGUGCCACUUGCCCCCACAACCAGUUGUCCCCUGUAGCGAAGUUCCCCCCCAUCCAAGGUAUAGUUGGGAUCCGAGGUGGGACUAAUUGCUAGUUGUGCCAAAGUAGAUUGUAACGCUGGAUCUUGUUCCCAAGAUAAUUUGAGGUCUGUUUUCCAUUGUGGUAUAACCACAGAUGUAGCCUUAAGUUCUCCAGUACUAUCUUCUUCCGCAUCAUGGAGACGUGAAAGAGGGUCUGCUACAACAUUGUCAUGACCCCUUUUAUACUCAAUCUUGUAGUCAAAUCCGAGCAGUUUGGUGAGCCAUUUCUGCUGAACAAGAGUAGUGAUUUUCUGAUUGAGGAGAUGUUUGAGGGCUUCUUGGUCCGUGCGGAUAGUGAAAGGUUGGCUAAGCAAGUAGCCACGCCAUUUCUGUACUGCCAAAACAACAGCCAACAACUCUUUUUCAUAGGUGGACAGACCCAUAUCCCGUUGUGAAAUGGCCUUGCUAAAGAAAGCAAGUGGCCUUCCAGAUUGCAUUAGGACAGCACCCACUCCUGAUUUACAAGCGUCGGUUUCAACCACAAAUGGCUGUGAAAAAUCUGGAAGGGCGAGGACAGGAGUGUUACACAUGGCUGUUUUGAGAAGUUGGAAGGCAUCCUCAGCCUGAGGUGACCACCUAAAAGCACCCUUUUUAAGUAACUCAGUCAGAGGCCUACUUAAGGCGCCAUAAUUCUUCACAAAGCGUCUGUAAUACCCUGUUAAGCCCAAGAAGCCACGUAGAGAUUUGAGAUUUUUCGGGGAAGGCCAUUGUUGCAUGGCCACGAUUUUGUUUGAGUCUGCUGCAACCCCGUCAUGGCUGAUUAUAUGCCCCAGGUACUCGAUGUGAGUCCUGGCGAAGGCGCACUUACUCCGCUUAACAAAUAAUUGGUGAUCUCGUAGAUGCUGAAAGACAAGUUCCAGGUGCUCACAAUGGUCCUCCAUUGUUGUACUAUAUAUAAGUAUAUCGUCGAAGAAGACGAGUACGAACUUGCCAAUGAGAUCCCUGAAAAUCUCGUUCAUUACCCCUUGAAACGUUGCCGGGGCGUUUGUCAAGCCAAAUGGCAUCACCACAAAUUCAUAAUGGCCUAGCUGAGUUUUAAAGGCAGUUUUAUGAAUGUCUUGUUCUUGAACCCUGAUUUGGUGAUAGCCGCUGCGAAGAUCGAGCUUGCUAAAGAUCCUGCUGCCAUGGAGUUCAUCCAUCAUUUCCUCAAUUAAAGGAAUUGGAAAACGGUUUUUGAUUGUGAUGGCGUUAAGGGCCCGAUAGUCAACGCAGAAUCGCCAACUGUUAUCACGUUUUUUAACGAGCAAAACAGGGGAAGAAUAAGGUGACUGGCUGUGGCGGAUGAUGCCACUGUCUAGCAUCUCUUUUACCAUUUUCUCGAUCUCCACACGCUGAAGGUAGGGGCAUUUAUAAGGAUUAAGAUUCACUGGUUUACUGCCUUCCAUGAUAGGAAUGAGAUGAUCAGCUUUGCGUGCUGGUGGUAGUGAUUUGGGGACUUGGAAGAUAUCAUCAUAUUUAUCAAUCACCGUUUGCACAAUUGGUGGAUUGGGAGGUUCCACGUCCUUCGGGGCCUCUAUGGCCGUCAAUUGGACCAAGAAACAAGCAUGGCCAGGUGACUUUGGCAGAUGUUUCUUGUUGUGAAGGACUUUAAUACUGGCUGGGUUGGAAACUUCUUGUUUAAGUGCUAUCCGGUUACCCUUCCAGUGAAUUUCAAUCUGUUGAGCAGUGAAGUCAAAGCUGACCGGGCUCACCUGUGAGAGCCAUUGUACCCCCAAGAUGCCGUCAUAACCUCCCAGUGGGAUGGCAUAAAAGUCAGAGACAAAUGUGACAGUACCCAUUGUCCAGCUGAGGUUUUCAACCUUGCCUCCACAGCUAGCUGUAGUGCCAUUAGCUAGUUGAACAUUGAGUGAAUUGCAGGAAGAUGCCUUGAUGCCAAGGCGCUGAAUGAAUUCUGGGGAGACAAAAUUAUGUGUGGAGCCUGUAUCGAUAAGCAACUGGAUAGGGUGACCCUGAAUUUGCCCUGCCACCUUCAAGGUAUGUAACCCUUGAGUGCCUUGUAAAGCAUGGAUAGAGAUACCAAACUCAGGUUGAGUCUCCAUCUCAGGGGUAUCGGUUUCAUCGGUGUCGGAUUCCUCCGAAUCACCUUCCCCAACCAUCAAAUAAAGCUGAGGGCGAGCACAUUUAUGCCCUGGAGAGUAAACAUCAUCACAAUUGUAACAUAAUCCCCGUUCCCGGCGUCGUGCCAUCUCUGCAGGAGAAAUACGUUUAAUUACAGGGUUCGGUUUGGGGCCUGGAAAGGUAGUAAUAGGUUUAGAGUGUCCUGUUUCAGUGAGGGGUUUGGGUACAGGGUUAGGUGAACUGGUGGAGUUGGGUUUUGUGGCAUCUGCCGGAGAUUUAAAUGGGUUGGGUGAGUAUGAAGUUUUUGGGCCCUUCAACUUUUUCUCAAUUAUGUCAAUAAAGAUUUCUUGCUCCCGAGCUUUAUCGAUAGCUUCCUGUAAGGUACAAGGGUUGUGGAUAUAUAGUGCCUGCUGAAUGUCGGGGCGUAAUCCACUAAGAAAGCUAGACAGGUAAAACUCAUCAGUAUGAAACGAAUACGUACUCAUCAAAUAACCACGCAAUUCCUCAAACUGAGUUACAUAGGCAUCAACAGUACUAGUCUGAGUCAGUUUGUUAAACUUACCGAUGAGAUUGCCCUGAUUACCUGUAUUGAAUCUCCGGAGUAAAAAAGAAACGAAAGCAUCCCAGCCUAACCCUGGGUACUGGGCUUGUAUGGUUUGGUACCAGUAGUCAGCUUCUGCGUCCAAAUACAAAGCUGCGUAGAUGACCUUGGUGGUGGAAUCCAUUACAGGGUUGAGGAGGAAAAACUUCUCAGCUUUACUUAUCCAGCCACGUACAUUUUUUCCAUCAAAACGUGGAAAGUCCAUCUUAGGAAACUUAAACUGGGUAUGAUAAGGGGGCCUGGGCAGAGAGCUAUCCAAGUUUGGAAUCCAGCCUUGAGGAGGGUUGAAAACCCCAUUACUGAGAACCCCGGUGGUGAGAGUUUGAGGGAAACUUACUGGUGGGGUAGUAUGUGGUAUGAAAUUCGUGUGCUGUGCUCGAAAAUUAAUAUGCUGGUUAGGGAUGAAGGGAGGUGCAGUUAAGGCGGAGGUGAUGAAACUGUGGGUGACGGGUGGGUCAAUGGGUGGGCGUAGUGGAUUAAGGGAGGAGUUUAGGGGCCUUGGGAGAGGGUUUGUGAGAGUGUGAGUGACGAAUGGGGAAAGUGAAGUUGGGGCAGAAACAUUACCAAUUUUGAGAGCUGACGAGAUCGGGGAGUUCGAGGAAGAUGCGUUUGCGGAAGGAGAGGCGGUUGCCUUGCUGAAGUUGGGUUGUUGGUGCAGCAGGGGUUGAAUUGAUGCCACCUGUGCUUGAUACUGCUCCGUCAAACCAUGAAUCUGUCGUGACAUCGUGUCACGAUCAGCUUGCAUCUGCGUGGCCAAACCCUUAAACUGAGUACCCAUAUUAGCCAUUUGAGUAGCUAGAUUUGCAAUCUGGAGAAGGGUUUCAUCAUGUUUCUGGGUGCUUGCAGCUUGCGCCUCCUCGAUCAACUUAAUGGACUGUUCAUGUUUUUGGAGCGAUGGCCCAGCCAUGGCUCUGAUACCAGUUUGUUACGUGCUGAAUUAUGUAAGCUUUAAUAUGUAAAAUGUAAGCAGAGAUUUACAGAGAAAUGGAGUUUAGAGAGAGAAGGAAUAAUUCAUUUCAUUGCUUGAAGAAGAAGUUGUUACACAGCCCCCACUUAUAACAAAAGACAAAUAACAGAUAUAACAAAACUACGUCGUUUCUCUCCAUCUAGAUCCUUCUACUGUUACGCCAGCCCAAAUAAUAAAUUCAGCCCAUUAAGCACAUGAUAUUGUUUGUCAGCUAAAUAAAAUCAAGUGUGACUAAUUUCUUUUCCACUCGUGACAUCAAUCUGUUGUAUGUAUAUGGUAGUUCUCUUGUUAAGAUUUUCCGUGCAUAUAUCUUUAUUAAUUAAAACCUAAAAGAAUUUCACUUCACAUCAAAACACUCUUAUAUUAAGCACUGUCGUGCCUUGUAAAUUUUAAGAUUAAGUCUGUUUUGUAGGUUUACCGUUGUUUUGCUAGUAACAACUUUGGUUAAUUACGCCUUUCAACACUUUUAUUCAGCUUUAAAAUCUUACUUGCUGAAAAGAACAACUUCUUGUAUGGCCAUAAUUUUUUUGGUAUUUUUUAGCUCACUAGAAUAUCUUUUUGUUAACUACUGGCUGCUAAUGUCAUGGUAUACAUAUGUUUACACAGAAUACUGAUUUGCUAUUUUGCUUUCUCGCAUCCUUUUUAUCUGUGAAGUGUGAACCACUGCUUAUAUGAGGGUGUUUCUAAUAUAUAGAUGUUAUGUACACAUGCAUAUGCAUUUUUGUUCUAGGAAUUGUCGACUUGAUAAAGUAAUCUGUGAGUUCUAAUUCUAUUUUUUAUUAAUGUUUUAAAAUUGCAGUCAAAAUAUAUUCAAGCACUAAUAGAGAAGUCUAAAGUACGAGAGCGUGAACAAGAGAUAGUUUAUGAGAGAAAAAUUGCUAAAGAGAGAGAAAAAGAUGACCAUUUACAUUCAGACAAGGAAAAAUUUGUCACUGGUGCCUACAAAAGGAAACUCGCAGAGCAGGCAAAAUGGCUGGAGGAGGAUCGAUUGCGUGAAUUACGUGAACAGAAAGAGGAUGUAAGUUUUUUUUCUUUUCUCUAGCCUUCAUGUCAUCCAGCUAUUAGGAUAAUGUAUUUACUGUCUGUUGUUCUUGCAUUUGUAUCAGCCACUGUUUUUUUCCUCUAAUUCAAUUCUGACAUGACGGGUGCCAAGUGCUUAUCUAAGACUGAUUUGCAACUUACAUGUUGUCUAGAAACAUGUUUGCUGCUGGACUUCACUAACAAUAGUUUAUGAAGCUGGUUUUGCAAAAUCUUAUCUUCUAGUUUCUGAGUGCACUAUGUUCAUUAGUCACUUAAUCUGAAAAAAUUAAAUUGCUUUUUUGGUUUAGCCCCUUAAAAUUAAACAGAUCGUAAUUUAAGAUAUCCGGUUUUCAUAAUCAUGAGUGUAACCCUUAUCAAAUUGGCAUACCUCAUAAUCUUCUAUAGUAUAUGGUUAAACCUAGGUUAAGGUAUAGUUGGCAUGUCAUCGACUCUUCCAGUCUCCCAUGAUAGCCAUGUUUUUGCCUGUAUCUUUUAGGAUUUUGUACAAGAGUCAUAAGGUGAGUUAACCACUUCCUGUGACUCUUUACAAAUUUCGGUAGAUGUCGUGCUUGUUCAUAAAUGUCUUAUUAGAGAGGAUACAUAGUGCUUAGAUCUAGGAAAAUGGUGCUUCUGUAAAUAUUUAAGUUUUAAUUGGGUGAAGAUUUUAAAUUUAGAAUGGAGUAUUUUUUAAAGUUUCGAAUUUUGAUACUAAAUUUUAGCUUUUUCAGGGUACUUGUUGCAACUUGCAAGCUCUGAGUGACAACCCCUGCUAAGUUUUUUGCUUUUUUUAUGAUGCCUAAGUCUGAACAUGCCUAUUUUAUAAUUAUUUUUGAAUACAAUCUGUUGUUUAAUCUCUUUGACUAAACUUUCUGUUAUGCAUGCCUUUUUUGCUCUUAUACGGGUAACUUUAAAAUUAUAUAUAAAAUAUAGGUAACUUGUAUAUUAUAAUUUUUUUGCAUCAUCACUUUUGCUGAAGUUUGACUUUGGUAAUCUGAAUUGUAUACUUUUUAAAGAAUCUAGUUUAAGGAACCACAGUGUGAGCUCCUGCGGUUAAUUGAAUUCUACUGGCUGGGCUGAGGGGACUGCCAUAAAUAAUUGGCAUAAUGAUAUCUGUUAUUUGACUUGUUCUCCUAUCAAACUUGAGGCAUUUUGGCUUUCUUAAUAUUGCUACUGUUGUAUAUUCAAUGAACAAUGCAUUUUAUUCAUGUAGCAUUGAGAAAAUAAGUUGUGCUAUUAAUGUAUAUGACUGAAAACAAGUUGGUUGCAAACAUCUGAAGAUGUUCUUUCCAUAUAUGCAAUAUUUUAAUACGUACUCUGUUGUUAGAGCAAUAGAAACCUGCAAAACUUCUUUACCUGUUGCAUUCCUUUUCAACAGUUGCUCUAGGGAGCUGCAAUUAUUUUCCCUUUUUAAUUUUCUUGACAAUUAGUACAAUUUUAAAGUCUUUGUUAUGUUUGCGAAUUCAGUAUAUUAAUUAGUUGUAUGUCGGGAGAUUAUUAUUAACAUAUGAUGAGAAUUUUAAAUCAUCCCUACUUAAAAAUCCAUUUUUAAUAUGUUUUCAUUUGUGUCCCAGAUCACCAAGAAGGGUGAUAUGAGUGACUUUUACUUCAAUCUGUCAAAGAACGUAGCAUUCGGAGCCACCGAGGCAGAGCUGAGGAAAAAAGAAAAGACGCAGCAAGUGGAAGAGAAAAUUCAGACAUCAGAGCAAGAAAAGGCCUCAGAAAGUAGUCAUCCAUCGACCAAAAUCCCUUCAGACUUUGUUGCUGCGCAACCUGGUGAAUAUAUGAAGACACCAAUUGCUGAAUCAUCAAAAGACAAAGUUGUUGAGCCAGUUGCUGAGUCGUCAUUACCAGAUAUUAAAGUUGCUCCUGAAACAGUUAAUGAGCAAUCGAAACGUGAUCAUCAUAAAAGGAAUGAAGAUGCUGUUGCAGCUGCUAAAGAGCGCUUCUUGGCUAGGAAAAGAGCCAAGGUAGUGGAGGAACCACUUUAGGGUUGGUAACUGCUUGUAUUGUUCUGUUCUCCACAUAUUUGCCUUGUUGAUUAUUACUUUUGCUUGCACUCAUAGAGUUGGUCAUGGAAGGAAGUUAUUGUAAAAUAAUAAAAUAUAAACCAAAAAGCAAUUUUUGCAAGAAUGUUCAGCUCGGGGAUAUGAAAGAGGGAAUUUGGAGUCUAAUACAAGUACUUGAGGUAAUUGAGAUAUAUUCUUACCUACGGGGAUACGAAAGAGGGCAGUUUGACUCUAAAACAAAUACUUAUAUAUAAUCUGCAUGAUCGAUAUUUUACAGAUAUAUUUAUGCCGUGUAAUACUUAUAUUCUAUGUAAUGAUGCAAUAUUUUAUGUAAUGUGAUAAUCAUAUGAAUUGUAUCACUAUACAUGUUAUUUAAAUAUAAAAUUUGCCAUUAAAGAUAUAUUCUGUUAUUUAAAUAUCAUUGAAAGAAUAUAAUUAUCGUCUGAAUUAUUAGCAGUAUGGUAUAUUUAUUUUUAUAAAUAAUACUAUAAUACUUUUUUAUAAAUAUUUAAUAAUUUUAUUAUAAAAAAAAAAAAUUUAUAGGAUAAAGAUACAGUGAAAAUAAUUUUUUUAGUAUUUUAAAUCAAAUCAUAAUAAAAAAAUAUAUACACACACAAGGUCUAACCGGGAAGCCCCGUACAGUCGUACACCCUCUCCUCCGCAAACCCAUCGAUAAGCGGGAUAAGUGUAGAAUUUAUAGAUUUUCAAAAAAAAAAAAGAGUAGAUUUUAUAGAAUAAAAUUAAUAAACAUUUUUUCCAUUUUCAGAUAGCAUUUUUAGACUUUGAAUUACUUAUGUUCAGCGCAGCCCAAUAAAUCUUGUAUCCAUUUGGAAAAAAAAAAAAAAAAAAAAAAAAAUUUUUUCCAAAAAAAAAAAAACCAGAUUUGAAUGAUCCUGUAUUAAGANNNNNNNNNNNNNNNNNNNNNNNNNNNNNNNNNNNNNNNNNNNNNNNNNNNNNNNNNNNNNNNNNNNNNNNNNNNNNNNNNNNNNNNNNNNNNNNNNNNNNNNNNNNNNNNNNNNNNNNNNNNNNNNNNNNNNNNNNNNNNNNNNNNNNNNNNAAAAAAAAAAAAAAAAUCUUGUAUCCGUUAGAAAACAACAGGGCCUCCCAAUCCGAAAUGCAAUCAGGGCCCAGUUAUCAUAAGCAGGUAGAAAUACAGACAAGGCUACACAAAAUUCACAUGUCGUAGAAGCCAAGCUCUUUCUUACCAUCCGAGUUUGAAGAAAAAGAUGAGGAUCUUCGGGAAGCUUAUGUUUCCAGGCCGUUUCAUUAUACUUUCUGCUUCCGGGUAAUCUUCCAACCUUAAUCAAAGAUUACACGAAUGAUCUUGUUUAUGUAUAUAGGUUUAUGCAACCCACGUAUGAUGUUUGUAAACUGUAACAGGAUGCUUGUGUUGGCAGCAACAACUUAUGACAUACACAGAUCAAUCAAGAACAAUUCUACGCCACCUACACAGCAAGAAAUGCAGGAAUUGAAUGAUUAUAUCAAGUCUCUUCGUCCUCCUUCAUGAGUCAUUUCUAUGACUUUUUAGUUUUGGAGGGUUCCUAGUUCGCCACGUGUCAUGUUUACAUCCUCAUAUACACCUUUUUCUAUGUACUACUACUUUGUAUGGAGGUUUGAGGAUGAACCUGGUCUGGGCUUUGUAAGUUGUAACCAUCCCAGUCUACUACUUUAACUUUCUUGUAUGUGUAUAUUUGGAUGUAAUAUUCUUGCCUUGUAAUAUUGUAAUUUGCUUGAGUGAAAUCAAACUAAGGAUGUUUCUCAAUUGUACAGCUUGGAAUACUGAUUGUAUUUGGGAAUUCAGGAUUACAUCUUUAUUAUCAGUGUACUUUUGGUAAGGUUCAAUAUUUUCAUAACACAAUUGUUUUCAUCCGAAUAGCGGAUAACGAGUAGAUAUUUGACCAUCACACAGUUGAUCAUCGUUGUCGUUUGUGAUUGAGUGGGAAUUAUGUAUGAUUUACUGAAAACUUGCAGGGUCCAAUUUUUGGUUGAUUGUCCUUAUGAAGAUAGAGGACUUCAUUUUAAAUUCGAGUCCUACAUUAUACCGCAUUGCAUCUAACACUGUGAUUAUUUGCUGCAACAGAGCCAUUAAGCAUAUCAAUCUGGUAUGCCCGAAGGAGAUGCUCAUCGAUUGCAGCAAAUUAGAACAUAUUUGCCAGAGCACCUAAUACAACCUCGUAUUCAUACAUGAUACUGAUCUAUGAUUCAGCUAUGAUAUGCAGGUUAUUCAAAUUCAGUUCCUAUUAGAAGUUGAUAAUUGUACUCAUAUAUGAUGAUAAAAGCGUCAAUUCAGUCUGAAGUUCAACAUAACUCCCCACUGCAAAUCUUUUCUGGAAAGGAAGCAUUAAGCAUCUUAAACUAGUAAAGAAAAGCACUUAUUUUAACAGUGUGAUCCAGGACAGCCAACAAAAACUAAGCAGUUAUCAGCUGUAACACUUUCUUCCAAGCAGGGCGGCCUGAAAUAUCAAUCCACCAAGAAUUCACACUCUUUCUAUCUGUCACCAAGUGUGCCAAUCCAAUUUCAUUCAUCAAGUAUCGGAUUCCCGGGAGAUGGCUCAGGUCAGCCAGUGAAAAAUAAUCACCGCCCAGAUAUUUACUCUCUGACAGCCUCUGCUCGUACACAUCAAGCACUUUCUCCAGUUUUUCUUCGCAUUCUUGAACUAAAACAUGGUCCGUUUUUCCUCCCAUUUUUGGGAACACCAGGAGCUGAAGUACCAGUGUGUAAAGCAUGGGAUUGAAAUUGUGUGCUUCAACUUCCAGCCAUUGUUCAACGAGGGCUCGUUCCUCUAAAGUAUUCCCAAUAAGCUUGACACCUUUUUCCGCGUACUUUGCUGCAUAGUACCUUAUGAUGGCUCUAGACUCUGAAAAUAAACGAGUCCUUCACUGAUAAUUGUCCAAAACGUAAAUUUAUCAACUUUUAAGUAGAGAUUUCAAUUUUCAAGUGAUCUUGCUCUUACCAAACAGCUUGAAGUCCCCUUCUUCUAUAGCAGGAACUUGUCCGAAAGGCUGCCAAGAAUAUACAAGUCACAAUGAGACCUUAUCAGACAAAUUAUCAAACAAGGAAGCUAAUCUAGAUUCUAGAAUGCCAAGAACUACGCAAAAUAUUUAGGCAUGGUAGAAAUGUUACCUGGCGGAGUAAGAAGGGAGGUUGUUUGUGCUCACCAGAGUCGAGGUCGACAUGAACAAACUCGUAAUCCAAAUCCAACUCCAAAAGACAAGCCAGGACUCUCUGAGGACAAGCUCCUCUAAGAGAACCAAACACUUUGACCACCAUUUGUUUUUGAGUGAAUGAACAAGUUUAGAGGUUCAAUUUUGAAUGUUCUACACAAUGCAAGUGAUUAAUGAUAUUGAUGUGUUCUCUUUAUAUAGAGGUACACAAGAAAUUGAACAAUGGUGUUACUUGCAAGAGCAGUGGAUUGAAGUGGUGGCUCAGUAGCCAGUUCAUGCUGGAUUGGGGGUUGUCACAUGCCAACAACCGGUAAGUGUGCAAGGGAGCUGUGUCAGAGACUCAUAGUUAUGCAAUUCAGUUUUGUGCAGCCUGGAAACACUUUAAUUUUUCUACAAAAAACAGGAUUUAUUAUUGAAAUUUCACAUCAUAUCACCGUCUCAAUACCACUUAAACAAAUACAAGAUCGCACAAUUUAGCCACUCACUCCGUUCUAAAAUAAUAGUCCGUUUUUAAUUCUUUGCGCUACUCCCUCAGUUUUAAAAUAAUUAAUAUAUUGAUUUUUUGAAUUUGAGAUGCAAGAGAAAAGUAUUUGUACACAUUAUUUUGAACUUCUUAUUAAACAAAAACAUAAAUAUUCAAUUUUUAUGGAAAAAAGAAAAUUUCAAAAAAAAUAAUAUAUAAAAAUAUUUUAUUUACAUGUCUUAUCAAAAUAUUUUUUGUGUUGAAAUGAAAGGAGUAUAUAUAAAUACUCGAUACAACAGAAGAAAGUUCAACAUCAUGUUUAUGAAUUUGUUUAUCAAAUUCUUCUCGAUCCCGAGGACUGUAUUUCAUUGAUUUUACUUUUAUUACCGUUUUUGGAUCUUUGAGCUUGAUAGUUGCCUUCAUCCAAUACUUGGUCUUUGUAGGAUUCAAGGGAUUUUCUGAGCAAACAAAAUCUAAUAAUUUUUCAAUUUAUAAAUUUUUUAUCAAUGUCAACAAAUUAUAACAAAUAAAAUUCAGUUUUUUAUUUGAUUAUACUUCCAUGAGUCAUUUUGAUCAACUAAUUAUCGAAAAUUUUAAUAUAAAGAACCCGACAUUCGAUGAAGAUACUUUGUCUUGCCUCUACAACGUUCGAACUAACACCACAAGGGAAAAAGAGAAAACUAACACCACAAGGGAGAGGGAGACCCAAAUUUCAGUCUGGGCCUGUUCUUGCCCAUUGACACUCUGGGCUUAACCUAUGUAUCACCACAGAAAACUUUCGCCAACACAAAUAGAGUAUUUAUCAGCUAAACAGAAGCAAAUAUAAAAAUUUCAGGACUGCUGUGCUGAAGAGACAAAGAUGGAAAAUGAAGAAGAAAAUGAAGUAAAUGACUUUCUCGGAUGGGCUGCAAAGCUUGGAAUUACAGAUUUUCCUCCUAAUCUCAACAACCCAUCUGUUAAUUCUUGUUGUUUGGGCCAUUCUCUCUGUGUUUCUCACUUCCCAGAUGCUGGCGGGUCAUACUCUCUUCUUCAUUAUCACCCCUUUAUGUAUAUGUAUGUGUGUGCAUAUUAUUUAUUAUGCGUGUUUGUGUUGCAGACGAGGUUUAGCAGCUGUCCGUGAUCUUACAAAAGGGGAAUUGAUUCUUAGAGUCCCAGAAGAAGCUUUGUUUACAACUCAAAGUGUUGUGUUGAAAGAUCACACCUUUUCUGUGGCUCUUCAACAAUAUCAGUCCCUUUCUUCUACUCAGGUCUUUGUAUUAUUUUUUGCCUAUUAUCUCUGAUAUGUAAUGUACAUCAAUCUUUUUUACUGAAUCAGUGUGGUUAUAGCAUAGGAAUGGAUUGUAGUAUCUCUAUUGGCUUUCUUGUGGAAAUAGGAAACCGGGUUUUUGCCUUUUUUUUUUUUGGUGAACAUGGAGCUCGAAUAGAACAAGAAUCUUGAUUUCAAUUAAUGUCUCUAAGGCUGUAAUUUUUGGUUGGAAGUAAUGGAUUUGGCUUUUUAGUAGAUGACGGUUUAUGAGAAAGGGUGUAAGGGAGAUAAUGGAUUGGGAAUGUACUGAUGAGCUUCUGUUCUAAGAUGAUUUCGCUCCUCCAAUGGGAGAUGGGAAGAUAGGGUUAAAUUAGAGUUUUCAUACUGGUACACAUUUGACCUUCCAUAUUUAAAAAGUAGCAAUAUAGCAUUGCUCGUGUAUUUCGUGAUCCUUCCAUGUACUUAUAAAUGACUAGUGCUUUAGCAGAUAAUUGUUCCUUCUUCUUACUUGAAUAAUUUCCAACUAUCCUGUUCUCUAAUUUGAUUCCUGUUUGCUGAUUCCAUAUUUUGCUCAACGUCACUGUUGUUCAACAGGCUUACCUCAACUUAAGAUAUGAAGAUCUUAUAUCGUUUGUGUCUUUGUAGCCACCUCCGCCGGAGUUUGAGUGUUCAACUGAUAUAUGGGAUUGUUAGUGUAAAGACUUAAGAGUCAGUGUGACAUGUGUUUAUUGUUUUUUUACAAGGCCAAAGAGAAACCCACUUCCGUCCUUAGAAUCUAUAAUGUGCCAAAAUAUAUGGAGGUUUCUCUAUAUCGUCAUAGCCGUAGUUUGAGAGCUUAGGAAAUGUGACAAUUAAACUUUGAACUGUAUUUACUUUUUGGUUAUGUAUUUUUGACUUCUUCUAGAUGCAGGUGCUCUUUACUGCUUCUGCUUAUAUAUAUUUUAAUAGAAAAUUACUGAAUCCAGGUAACAUAUUUUUCUUACACAGAUACUGACUAUUGCAUUAUUGAAUGAAAUCAGUAAAGGGAAGAGUUCCUUGUGGUUUCCUUAUUUAAAGCAUUUGCCACGAAGUUAUGACAUAUUGGCAAGUUUUAAUCAAUUUGAAACACAAUCUUUGCAGGUGUGGCUUUUGUCUGCUAACAAUUAAUUUCUGAACUAGUAUUGAAACCUUAAAAAGUUUUUAUAGUACAAUCUUGUAAAACAGCUUUUCUUUUGUAUGUAUAUAAUGGGUAGGUAGAUGAUGCAAUGUGGGCAGCAGAGAAGGCUAUAGGUAAGGCUAAAUCAGAGUGGAAGGAAGCUAUAUCGCUGAUGAAUGAUUUGAAGAUAAAAAAUAAACUUCAAAGCUUGAGGGCUUGGCUCUGGGCUUCUGGAACUGUAAGUAUGUUGACUGGCUAUCUAACUAUACCUAUAAUGCUCUCAAAGAGAUAUAUAUUCAAGCUGCCUGGUCGAAUAGGUUCACAAGUACAAGAAAUUAGAAAUCACAAAUUUCUUCAGAUGUGCUUAAUGCAAAUUUGGAAAUUAUUGGGUCAUGUACCCUUGCUUUUAAUUGUUUAUAUGCGACUCUUCAUUAUAUGCUAAUCUUAGUAGUCUGAAUAUUGAAGUUUAUAACAUAACUUGAUUGAAGAUCUCCUCUCGAACAUUGCAUAUACCAUGGGAUGAAGCCGGAUGCUUAUGCCCUGUUGGUGAUUUGUUUAAUUACUCUGCCCCUGGGGAAGAAUUAGGUGAAUGUGAUGAUUUGCGUGCUCAAGGAAAGGCCUCUUGUGACAUGUCUACCAGUUCCGGCCAUGUCAAAGAUGAACCAGUGGGCGAGCAUUGUGAUAAUUCGGUGCGAUUGACAGAUGGCGGGUAUGAAAAAGAUAUUGGAUCAUAUUGCUUCUAUGCUAAAAAGAGCUAUAGGAAAGGGGAGCAGGUAACAAAAACUCUCCCUUUGAUAAUAUAGUGUAUGCCUUGUUUGUUAACUAAAGUGCUUAUAAACACUUUAAUGAAAUUUAGCUGCGGUAAGAAUGCAUUUACAUGUUCACAGUCCCUAUUUUCGUGGGAGGGGGGGGGGGGGGGGGGGGNNNNNNNNNNNNNNNNNNNNNNNNNNNNNNNNNNNNNNNNNNNNNNNNNNNNNNNNNNNNNNNNNNNNNNNNNNNNNNNNNNNNNNNNNNNNNNNNNNNNNNNNNNNNNNNNNNNNNNNNNNNNNNNNNNNNNNNNNNNNNNNNNNNNNNNNNNNNNNNNNNNNNNNNNNNNNNNNNNNNNNNNNNNNNNNNNNNNNNNNNNNNNNNNNNNNNNNNNNNNNNNNNNNNNNNNNNNNNNNNNNNNNNNNNNNNNNNNNNNNNNNNNNNNNNNNNNNNNNNNNNNNNNNNNNNNNNNNNNNNNNNNNNNNNNNNNNNNNNNNNNNNNNNNNNNNNNNNNNNNNNNNNNNNNNNNNNNNNNNNNNNNNNNNNNNNNNNNNNNNNNNNNNNNNNNNNNNNNNNNNNNNNNNNNNNNNNNNNNNNNNNNNNNNNNNNNNNNNNNNNNNNNNNNNNNNNNNNNNNNNNNNNNNNNNNNNNNNNNNNNNNNNNNNNNNNNNNNNNNNNNNNNNNNNNNNNNNNNNNNNNNNNNNNNNNNNNNNNNNNNNNNNNNNNNNNNNNNNNNNNNNNNNNNNNNNNNNNNNNNNNNNNNNNNNNNNNNNNNNNNNNNNNNNNNNNNNNNNNNNNNNNNNNNNNNNNNNNNNNNNNNNNNNNNNNNNNNNNNNNNNNNNNNNNNNNNNNNNNNNNNNNNNNNNNNNNNNNNNNNNNNNNNNNNNNNNNNNNNNNNNNNNNNNNNNNNNNNNNNNNNNNNNNNNNNNNNNNNNNNNNNNNNNNNNNNNNNNNNNNNNNNNNNNNNNNNNNNNNNNNNNNNNNNNNNNNNNNNNNNNNNNNNNNNNNNNNNNNNNNNNNNNNNNNNNNNNNNNNNNNNNNNNNNNNNNNNNNNNNNNNNNNNNNNNNNNNNNNNNNNNNNNNNNNNNNNNNNNNNNNNNNNNNNNNNNNNNNNNNNNNNNNNNNNNNNNNNNNNNNNNNNNNNNNNNNNNNNNNNNNNNNNNNNNNNNNNNNNNNNNNNNNNNNNNNNNNNNNNNNNNNNNNNNNNNNNNNNNNNNNNNNNNNNNNNNNNNNNNNNNNNNNNNNNNNNNNNNNNNNNNNNNNNNNNNNNNNNNNNNNNNNNNNNNNNNNNNNNNNNNNNNNNNNNNNNNNNNNNNNNNNNNNNNNNNNNNNNNNNNNNNNNNNNNNNNNNNNNNNNNNNNNNNNNNNNNNNNNNNNNNNNNNNNNNNNNNNNNNNNNNNNNNNNNNNNNNNNNNNNNNNNNNNNNNNNNNNNNNNNNNNNNNNNNNNNNNNNNNNNNNNNNNNNNNNNNNNNNNNNNNNNNNNNNNNNNNNNNNNNNNNNNNNNNNNNNNNNNNNNNNNNNNNNNNNNNNNNNNNNNNNNNNNNNNNNNNNNNNNNNNNNNNNNNNNNNNNNNNNNNNNNNNNNNNNNNNNNNNNNNNNNNNNNNNNNNNNNNNNNNNNNNNNNNNNNNNNNNNNNNNNNNNNNNNNNNNNNNNNNNNNNNNNNNNNNNNNNNNNNNNNNNNNNNNNNNNNNNNNNNNNNNNNNNNNNNNNNNNNNNNNNNNNNNNNNNNNNNNNNNNNNNNNNNNNNNNNNNNNNNNNNNNNNNNNNNNNNNNNNNNNNNNNNNNNNNNNNNNNNNNNNNNNNNNNNNNNNNNNNNNNNNNNNNNNNNNNNNNNNNNNNNNNNNNNNNNNNNNNNNNNNNNNNNNNNNNNNNNNNNNNNNNNNNNNNNNNNNNNNNNNNNNNNNNNNNNNNNNNNNNNNNNNNNNNNNNNNNNNNNNNNNNNNNNNNNNNNNNNNNNNNNNNNNNNNNNNNNNNNNNNNNNNNNNNNNNNNNNNNNNNNNNNNNNNNNNNNNNNNNNNNNNNNNNNNNNNNNNNNNNNNNNNNNNNNNNNNNNNNNNNNNNNNNNNNNNNNNNNNNNNNNNNNNNNNNNNNNNNNNNNNNNNNNNNNNNNNNNNNNNNNNNNNNNNNNNNNNNNNNNNNNNNNNNNNNNNNNNNNNNNNNNNNNNNNNNNNNNNNNNNNNNNNNNNNNNNNNNNNNNNNNNNNNNNNNNNNNNNNNNNNNNNNNNNNNNNNNNNNNNNNNNNNNNNNNNNNNNNNNNNNNNNNNNNNNNNNNNNNNNNNNNNNNNNNNNNNNNNNNNNNCUUUCUAUCUGUCACCAAGUGUGCCAAUCCAAUUUCAUUCAUCAAGUAUCGGAUUCCCGGGAGAUGGCUCAGGUCAGCCAGUGAAAAAUAAUCACCGCCCAGAUAUUUACUCUCUGACAGCCUCUGCUCGUACACAUCAAGCACUUUCUCCAGUUUUUCUUCGCAUUCUUGAACUAAAACAUGGUCCGUUUUUCCUCCCAUUUUUGGGAACACCAGGAGCUGAAGUACCAGUGUGUAAAGCAUGGGAUUGAAAUUGUGUGCUUCAACUUCCAGCCAUUGUUCAACGAGGGCUCGUUCCUCUAAAGUAUUCCCAAUAAGCUUGACACCUUUUUCCGCGUACUUUGCUGCAUAGUACCUUAUGAUGGCUCUAGACUCUGAAAAUAAACGAGUCCUUCACUGAUAAUUGUCCAAAACGUAAAUUUAUCAACUUUUAAGUAGAGAUUUCAAUUUUCAAGUGAUCUUGCUCUUACCAAACAGCUUGAAGUCCCCUUCUUCUAUAGCAGGAACUUGUCCGAAAGGCUGCCAAGAAUAUACAAGUCACAAUGAGACCUUAUCAGACAAAUUAUCAAACAAGGAAGCUAAUCUAGAUUCUAGAAUGCCAAGAACUACGCAAAAUAUUUAGGCAUGGUAGAAAUGUUACCUGGCGGAGUAAGAAGGGAGGUUGUUUGUGCUCACCAGAGUCGAG
rnacentral:lncRNA from 1 species